GAAGAAGAAGAGUUUGGAUUUGAUAUCCCGCUUUAUCACUACCCUAAGGAGUCUCAAAGCGGCUAACAUUCUCCUUUCCCUUCCACCCCCACAACAAACACUCUGUGAGGUGAGUGAGGCUGAGAGACUUCAGAGAAGUGUGACUAGCCCAAGGUCACCCAGCAGCUGUAUGUGGAGUAGCAGAGAUGCGAACCCGGUUCACCAGAUUACAAGUCCACCGCUCUUAACCACUACACCACACUGGCUCUGAAGCCACCAGAGCAGACAAUGUUUCACAUACCUAUAGCUUUUGCCCACAGUUCUAGAGACAAUAGGCUGCUUGUAAUGUAUUGGGAUAAUUGCUCCAUUAUACUUCCCACUCCAAGUAUAUUAAACAGAACAUUAAAAAUAAAGAUCCCCAAAUGAAUGCAACGUCUUAUUUUACUUCUCAGGCUGCCUGUUUCCAUUUUCCAGGGCAUUGUGCCAUGCCCAUGAAUUGACAAGUGGGUUCAUUCUCUAAUCUGUAAAGGUGCAGCCUAAAUAAAGUCCGGGAACGUAAUGAGUUUUUGCCCAAUUAGGUAAUCUGUCAUUAAGAAAACUUUCUGCUCAAGCCAGUUUUUUCCAAUCUCUGUAGCCCUGAAAUACUACUUUAAUCUUUUAGAAACAAGUCUCCCCACUGCCGACUUAUUGAAAUCUACACCUUUCCCCCUGCUAAGACGUGAGAGCAAUAGCAUUCUCUGCUUCCAAGCCUAAGGAUUAGGCAGUUGUUUUCUCUCUACACCAUUUCUUCCACCAUUUGUUGCUGCUCUUGCAUGCCAGUAAAUAUUUUAGGUAAGGCUCAUCCACACUUAUCUUAGGUAAGGCUCAUCCACACUUGCCCUGAGCCUUCAAGGCACAGGUCUAGGCUUUAAAGUGCUGGGUCCGAGUGCUCCCCUGCCCCCGGCGCAAACCAGUUGUCCUACCCUAAAACUGCCUCUGUUGAGAGUUGUAAGGUAAAGGUAAAGGGACCCCUGACCAUUAGGUCCAGUCGUGGCCGACUCUGGGGUUGCGACGCUCAUCUCACUUUAUUGGCCAAGGGAGCCAGCGUACAGCUUCCGGGUCAUGUGGCCAGCAGGACUAAGCCGCUUCUGGAGAACCAGAGCAGCGCACAGAAACGCCGUUUACCUUCCUGCCGGAGCGGUACCUAUUUAUCUACUUGAACUUUGAUGUGCUUUCAAACUGCUAGGUUGGCAGGAGCAGGGACCGAGCAAUGGGAGCUCACUCCGUCGCGGGGAUUUGAACCGCCGACCUUCUGAUCAGCAAGCAAUUCCAAGAGUGUUUUAAUCAUAAAUCACAGGCAACUUGGGUAAUCAUAACUCUGUGUGGAGGUAGGGGCCUCCUAACAAUGCCCAGCACCCUUAACAGACUAUAGUUCCCAGAAUUUUGGGGGGAUCUAUGGCUGUUUAAAGUGGGAUCACAGUGCUUUAAAUAUAUGUUACGAAUGUGGCCCUAAUGCCAUGACCCAAUAAUGACUUCAGUACUCUGACUAAAGCAGAAGUUGUUGGGGUUUUUUUUUAAAUGCCAGGAUAUGAAAAUAAGGAGUAAUACUAUUGACAUCCAUUGCACUGUAAAUCAGUUUAAAUGUAAGUAAGUCAGCUAAAUUGCAUUCUAGAUUUGGUUUCUGUGCAACUGAACUUGCCAUCUUGCAUUCCAUGCAUCCACCCAAAUGGAUCUAUCUGAGAGUGGCAACUCUCUCUUAUGGACCAACUAUGCCUUUGGAUCCUUCUCCUACAUACACAAUUUGGGCAUAGCUGACUGCAAGCUAGCCUGGUAAGGCGAAACACAAUAUUAAACUCAUUUCAGUAUCCUCACCAUGACUAUGGUGGUUUCUCAUUGAGAAUGUGCCUUCUUUCAAACAAUUUCUUACAUGAUUUCUUAAAAUGCUCUGCUCGGCAAUUCUCCAGAACAUGGGUAGGCAAACUAAGGCCUGGGGGGCGGAUCCAGCCCAAUCACCUUCCAAAUCCAGCCCACGAACAGUCCAGGAAUCAGUGUGUUUUUACAUGAGUAGAAUGUGCCCUUUUAUUUAAAAUGCAUCUCUGGGUUAAUUGUGGGGCCUGCCUGGUGUUUUUACAUGUGUAGAAUGUGUGCUUUUAUUUAAAAUGCAUCUCUGGGUUAUUUGUGGGGCAUAGGAAUUCGUUCAUUUUUAUUUUAUUUUUUCAAAAUAUAAUCUGGCCACCCACAAGGUCAGAGGGACAGUGGACCGGCCCCCUGCUGAAAAAGUUUGCUGACCCCUGGCUACCCCAUCAUCUAUCUGUCUGUCUGUCUCUCUCUCUCUAUUAUCUAUCAUCUAUCUAUCUAUCUAUCAUCUAUCUAUCUAUCAUCUAUCUAUCUAUCUCUGGGUUAUUUGUGGGGCAUAGGAAUUCGUUCAUCCCCCCCCCCAAUAUACUCCGGCCUCCCACAAGGUCUGAGGGACAGUGGACCAGCCCCCUGCUGAAAAUGUUUGCUGACCCUUCUCCAGAACCUCACAGUGGAAUGACUGUCCAUUUUGACAGUUCUCCUGAUUUCCUGAUCACUGGGGAGAUAGUGAUUUAAAAGGUGAUCUGCCAAUUAUCCAAAGUGUGCAAAAGGCUAUUGCCUGAUGGAAGCAAACAUGCCAGACUGCAAAAGAUUUUUUGAAGUGCUAAUCAUGAGAUAAAUGGCUAAACCUUUGGUUACAACAAAUGUUCAUGGUGGGUACCAAACGUCAGGGGGUGAAUGUGUUGAGAAGCUCCCAAGAGGUCCUUCUGGUAAGAUCUAUUACUGUAAAUCUUGCUAGAAGACAAAAGUUGUCAACAGAGUUGAAAGAAUUUUGAAGGAUUUUUCAAGUGCACCUGGGAGAGUCCUGUUUGACUGGCUGUACAGACGGAUGCUAAACCCCCUUUAUUAUGUACUUUCAAUGCUCUGCUGGUAGGCAGCUGCCUGAACUUCUUGAACAUAAUAUUUGCCAGGGAAAACUGCAGCAGGAAGCAUUAACCUUACAGACAUUGUAUUUGUGAACCAAUUGCACAAUUUUUACCCAUGGCAAACAGUUCUGUUUUCCCUGAUAUGUGAGACAUGAUAUUUCAGCUCUGCAGAUCAUUCAUUCUUGAGUUGUUAGCAAUGUUGGUAGAUGCUUAGAUAAAUGCCAGAGUGAAUAACCUUUCAUGGGACAGGUAUAAACUCACUCCUGAGCAGAAUGAAACAGGGAUGCUUUAAUAGCACAGCCAUUCUGAUAAAGCACAUUGUUGAAAUUAUUUAUAAGGCUUUGCUUCUGUUUCCCAAGCUACUGAUAGCUGAGCAACAUUUAUUUCCCGUGUUAAGAUAGGAGGCUUGCUUCAUUCUCACACUGGGAAAGAUUUAUUUUUAAUGGAUGUAAAGAUAAAAACUACCUGCAUUCUGUGGAACUCGUGGGUCUGUGUUGAGGCACUAUGCUGGGUGUGGCUCCUGUGUAGCAGAAGACCAGUCCAGAACAAUGAAUCACAGAACCGAUAAAGGGUAAUCUGCUGUUUGUGUGUCACAUGCUGAUGAUGGGUGGGACCAGAGUGCGACCAUCUCCACUUCAUUCUUUCAUCUACCCCAUGGGUAGGCAAACUAAGGCCCAGGGGUUGGAUCUGGCCCAAUCACCUUCUAAAUCCGGCCCACGGACGGUCCAGGAAUCAGCGUAUUUUUACAUGAGUAGAAUGUGCCGUUUUAUUUAAAAUGCGUCUCUGGGUUAUUUGUAUAGGAAUAGGAAUAGGCAUAGGAAUUCGUUCAUUUGUAUUUAUUUAUUUCAAAAUAUAGUCUGGCCCCCCCAAGGUUUGAGGGACAGUGGACUGUGCUGAAAAAAUUUGCUGACCCCUGAUUACCCCAUCAUCUAUCUGUCUGUCUGUCUCUCUCUAUUAUCUAUCUAUCUAUCUAUCUAUCUAUCUAUCUAUCUAUCUAUCUAUCUAUCUAUCAUCUAUCUAUCUAUCUAUCUAUCUAUCAUCUAUCUAUCUAUCUAUCUAUCUAUCAUCUAUCUAUCUAUCAUCUAUCUAUCUAUCUAUCUAUCAUCUAUCUAUCUAUCUCUAUCUAUCUAUCAUCUAUCUAUCUAUCUAUCUAUCUAUCAUCUAUCUAUCUAUCUAUCUCUAUCUAUCUAUCUAUCUAUCUAUCUAUCUAUCUAUCUAUCAUCCCCCCUCUACCUCUCUCCCUCUCUCAUGCUGAACAAAUUAUCAGAUUUCUUUCUCUUCUAUCAUUCUCAGUGGCUUUCCCUUUGCUUCUCUCCCCCUCCCCCAAAUUAGCUUAGUUUGAUCUCUAAGUCAUGGCUUCUCCUCUCCAUGGUGCUCUUCAAUCUUUUCUAACUUUUCAGUUUCGUUCCUCUUUUGGUAUGGGAUUAACAGCUUACUAUCCUGUCUCUCCAGAAGCAUAAAUACAGUUCACUCAGAAGCGUUAGCAUUUUUUUAAUAUAUUAAAAAAGCAAUUAAUAAAUAUGUGUGGGCACCCCAGUUGACUUUGGGGCCACUGUGCACAAACCAUUUCCAUCUUGCAUUAGCAUCUUGGUGAAUCCAAAGUGGCAGUGGGCACGCUGUUAAAAAUAAUUAUUAUAAUUAAUGUUUUGUUUGAUAGGAAAAUUUGUGUGCACUCUUCACACGGUGCAACCCUGCACUUAGCUGCUGUAAAGUUAAUAUGCUUGAAUUGCUUACUCUUCCAACACGGACGAAGUAAGGGGGCAAUUGCUCUGUGACUCUUGCCUGGAGGGGAGGAAGAACAAAACUGAAGCUGCGCCAUUGAACUUGAAGAAGGGGAUUAAAAUAAAAGCUGGCAUUACAGGCUUUCGCUAAGACUGCGAGGAAACAUGAAGCAAGUGCAGCUAUCUUUUGUGUAUGGUACAAUUAGCUUAAGGCAUCACCUGAUAACAAUAGGAAGGUUUGGGAGGAAAUUAGAUGCUAAGAGGAGGAAAAAAAUCAUCAUUACUCUUCAGAGGAAGUAGGAGCAUUAUCCCCCCCAAAAAAGGGGGUGGGCUUAUCCAGUUCAGUGCUGUCUAUAUUGGCUAGCAUCAGCAACCUGACACGUUUUGAAUGAAAACCAUAUGCAUCCCUAAGAUAUGCCCACUCUCAAUGGAUAGAAUGAAUUCUUUUCAUUCAUCUUACUAAAGUAGAUGUCUGCUAGGAUGGUGUAGGAUUGUUAGUAUAAGGAGGAAUGCCCCAUGGGGUGUUGGGGGCAGUACAUUAGGCCUUAGCCCUAUCUCAGAAGGUCAGAUACUGCACCACACAUCACUUACUCCAGCUUAACCUUCAACCCUGGCUUGCACCACUGCAGGACCUUUGCUUGCUACUCCCUGGAGGGGCUCCAGCAGUCUGGCUGGAAGGUAGCACAUUGGAUAGCAGGUGUGUUCUCCAACCACUGAUCCUCACCCCAAGCCUAGCCAUUCCCAAAUAUUUUCCGUAAUCAAUAAAUUUGUGGCUUCUUUCCCCCCCAUACCUGGUCUCCCAGUUGUCCUACUCCCAAGGGCAAAGCUCCUUUCUUCUUCUUCUUCUUCUUCUUCUUCUUCUUCUCCUCCUCCUCCUCCUCCUCCUCCUUCUUCUUCUUCUCCUCCUCCUCCUCCUCCUCCUCCUCCUCCUCCUUCUUCUUUAUGUGACUUUCAUAUCAAAGCCUGGGUUGAGUGUCGACACACAGCCAUCUUACCUGGGACACCAAGUGAGGCAGCCUCAGAAAACUGGUAAGGCCUCCUACUGCUGCCUCCAAGGAAAAGGAAGGUGUCAUCUCCAUAGUUGGCACAAUGGCAGGUGUGCUUCAUGUAACCAUUUUGUAUGUGCUACCUAUGUAGUUGUGAUGCGCAUGGGGUGCUCAGGUAGCAUGCACCCCUGUUGCAAUUUGUGGGAGAUUUGUGGUUGUUACCAGUAACAGACUCAUGACUAUUGCACUGCUAUAUUUGUGCAACGUUACAAUGUAUGUAUGCCACUGGCUCAAUAUGUUUCUAUCUUUUGAAGAAAUGGUGGGGUCAGUUAGACACCACAUGCUAUUUGUGUAACUUUUUAUGUCAUGGAGUAUUGUCGAUCCUGAUGACUUAAAUGUACAUAGGAACCAGAUUCUGUUCUGAUAAGUGUUGGAGAUGCAAUGAGGCUGAGGGUACGUUCUUUCAUAUGUGGUGGACCUGUAUAGGGUAAAAGAGUAUUGGGAAAUAAUUUAUACUGAAUUGAAAAAAAAAGUUUAAAAGUACUUUCCCAAAAAACCCAGAGUCCUUUUUGUUGGGGAUAAUUCAGAUGGAAAUUCGCAGGUGUCAAAAAAGGUUAUUUAUGUAUGCCACUACUGCAGCCCAUGUUUUGUUAGCCCCAGAAUGGAAAACGGGCGAGGUCCCAACUAAAGAAGAAUGCCAACUUAAACUGAUGGAAUAUGUACAGUUUUCAGACCUAACAUAUAGAAUAAGAGAACAAGAAGAACAUACAUUUAGAGAAGAUUGGAAAAUGUUUACUGAAUAUAUGGGGGGAAACUGUGUACACUUGAAAACGUUGGGAGCAUUAAGAUAAAUUCAACAGUGUAAACAAGUUUUGAUGGGUGUAUUAAUGGAAUACUGAAAUGUUUAAUUUAUGUAAAAUAUGCAGGGAUUUAUGAUGUGCAAAUUGAACCGUAGAAAGAGAAGAAGGGAAGUCAUUGUCAUUUUAAGGUUGUUUAAUGAGUAUUUUAAAUUGUAAAAUAGAAAACUUAAUAAAAUUUAUACAUAAAAAGUAUAUAGGAACCUGCCUUAUACUGAGGCAGACCAUUGCUUUGUCUAGCUCAGUCUUCUGAACUGAUUGCCAGAGGCUCUUCAUGGUUCCGAAUAAGGGCCUCUCCCAGUCCUCCUUGCAGAAGCUGAGGAUUGACUCUGGGGCAGAUCGUCUACCACGGAGUAAUCUACUUAAGCUAUGAGCCUUCCAAAACUAUAUCCUUUUUCAGGAAAGAGAAAAGUCUCAAUAAAGGCAGGAUUAUUAUUAUUUAACUUGCAAGUGUUCUCAUGUUUAAUAACUUCCACCAUAUGUGUUUUCUUCUGUAGGGAAUAUUAUAUCAGAUUGGUACAGUCAAUUUUUCUGUCACCAGAAUAUUUGAAAGCAAGUUGUUCAAGAUCGCAUGGAACCAUCCCAGUUUCCAACUCAUGCACAUUUCGAUACUGACUUGCCAAAAUCUGUGCGUUCCUUCUGUUGGGGCCUCAUGCCAGUUCAACUCUACUAUGUAAAUAGCAUGCUUAUUUAUCUGAACUUUCAGCUUCUCUGGAGUGACUGAUGCUCUUUCAAAAUAUUUAAAGUCUAAUCACACUGAAAUCUGCCAACAUUUUUAUAUAACCAGGCUGGGUAGGAGAUGUAGGGACAGACCUCUCUAAUAGGGUUUGAAACAUUUUCAUAAGGCCUUCUCCCUGGCAGAAACUACACAUUGUGCUAAUUUCCCAUUGAGGAGUCUGAGAAUGGAAGUCCCAGUCUUAUCCCUGGCAGGCAAACGUGUUAAACUGGGGCCUGUAAAAUAUUUGCCUUGCCUUGUUCUCCUCUGAUCUGCCCCAGAUGUAAGUUUAUGGAUACUUGGAACAUGGGGGAGAAGCAGGGUCCUCCUUGACUUCCUAAUCACCAUUUCAUUUUCCCCAGUAUAAAACUCCAAGUGCAUUAUCCCCUUUCACGCAAUUAAAAAUUGACCAGUUUUGAACUUCAGGCUUGCAAGGGAGGAAACUGCCAUCUUGGGACCACCAAAAGAUGUCAAGGGACAGCCAUAGCUCAGACACUUUAUAUCUAAAGUGUCCAUCCUUAGCAUUUCUAGGUAGGGUUUAGGAAUGUCCUCUGGUCUGAAAUCCUGGAAAGCCACUCUCAGCCAAUACUGAGCUAGGGGGACAAAUGCUCUGCUGACUUGGUAUAAGGCAAUUUCCUGUACUCCUAGAUCAGAGACAGCCCAUGUGGUACCCACCAGAUAUUGUUGGACUCCCACCAUCCUUGACCAUUGGCCAUUCUGGCUGGGGCUGAUAGUCCUUGGAGUCCAAUAGAACAGUGGUACCUCGGGUUAAGUUCUUAAUUCGUUCCGGAGGUCCGUUCUUAACCUGAAACUGUUCUUAACCUGAAGCACCACUUUAGCUAAUGGGGCCUCCUGCUGCCGCCGUGCCGCCAGAGCAUGAUUUCUGUUCUCAUCCUGAAGCAAAGUUCUUAACCUGAGGUACUAUUUCAGGGUUAGCGGAAUCUGUAACCUGAAGCGUAUGUAACCCGAGGUACCACUGUACCUGGAAAACUAAAGUUCCCUGUCCAUAGAAUAUAUGCUUCCUCAAUGCUUCUAAGGCCCUUCUUGCUGCAAACAGCCAAGUACUAGGGUUGCAGAUGUGAAGGGUGUUCCUGCCAUUCUUAGUGGUUGUAUUAUUAUUUAUUUUUCAUGAUAUUCAUAUCCCAUCACCUGCUAAACAGCAGCCUAUUAAGGGAGAAGGGAGAGUGACUGCACCUGCAGCUGAUCAGCCUUCAAGGACUCAGAGGAGAAGGCACUGAUGAGAACCAGCUGGCUCCAGCCUUCUUAGGCAGAGCUUCCAGCAGCAGUCAGAUGCUGGAAACAACGCUUGUAGUUCCUGGCCCUACCUGACUGCAUCCUGCUCAUCUUGACCCUUGACGCCAUGAUCAUUGGGUUCCCUAAGCCCUGGACCAUCUGACAAAUGCAGGUGGCUGUUCACCCAACCCUAACACUGGACCUGACUUCAGAUGCCGACUCUGCCUCCAGACAAGUACAGCUCAGAAUCUCUCCCAAGCCACUGAGCUCUGCAUAUUGUUGCUCAGCAAUGAGACUACGACACCAUAUUUCUUCCAAGGAUCUUAAGGUGUCAUACGGGGUUCUUCCCUAUUCAAUCUUUACAGCAACCCUGUGUAGGUUAGGCUGAGAGAUGGUAGCUGGCCCAGUGUGAACCUGAAACCUGGGAUCUUCGGAUCCCAGAACCUGGGAUCCGAAUCGGAUCGAAGAACCUGGGAUCUUCGGAUGAAAGGCUGUAUACAAAUUCAAUGAAUGAAUGAAUGACAUUUCCCAACGAGGUUCAUGGCAAAAUGAAGAAUUCAGCCUAAGUCUUCCUAGCCCAUUCACACAACGUUGGGAGUUGGCAUCAUCAUGUUCCUGGGGUUAUAUAUACUGGUGCGACAGCUAGUCAGCCUGUUACUGUAUCUGUAUGAUACCCCCUCCCCCCGAAAACCAACCCUCUCCCUCACCUAGGUUGAGAAUUGCCUUGGUUCUGUUACAGUAGUCCUGUUAAUCUCAACUUUUAUUGUGAAAAAGAGAGGAAACGGGACCCCCAGAAACUACUUAAUCCUUUGCAAUUAAACCAGUUGGUGACUAGGCAGAAAGUGAAAAAAAAUAGCUUUCAAAGGGAACAGAGCAGGCUAAGUAAUUGAUUGUUUUAAGUUGUAUUUCUUGCAGCCUAAUAUUGGAUUUUCUUUCUGUCUUUAGAAAGGGCAAGAGUACACAAGGAAAGGAAUGAGGUCAUUCCACUCAAUUCCAAGCUGUCUUUGUUCUUAUUUAACUGGGAUGACUGGUGUCAGGUGCCUUUUUGCCCUGGGUGCCAUUUCAAUUUAAAAUGGAGACGUUUUAAGACAUGGUUCUUAGAGGGGUGGGGGUGUCUUUACUUUAGAACAAGCAUAGAAACACCACUGUGCCAGGAGAUGUGUGACUUGGCGGUCAAUGUCUGAUUCCAGCUAUCUAGUUGGAAGCUGAAGUUGCAGAACUUUGCUGCUUGCAUCUUCUGGGCUCAAGAAGAGGUGAGCUACACAACCAGGAAAUCUGGGGAAUGGAUUUUUACAAUAAUGUGAACCCAAUAACAUGCACCAAUACUAACAUUCCAGUAAUAACCUGCAGUAUCGAAGAUAUACAAGCUGGUAUAGCACACAGGAGUAGCCAGGAAACAACUAAACCUGGAAGCAAGACUCACCUUUUGCUGUGGUUAGGUCUUGUAAUUAUAGGUCUUGUAAUAAUAAUGCUGCCAGCGUAAACAUGGAGUGAGAGUUGCCAUCUUGGUCUGCUGCAGGUUCUGAUGGAUAUGCCCAGAUUUUUAUGAGGUGUGUUCUUGCUAGUGAGUAGGUGUUUUAGGUUAAGAGGCUGUCUUUAACAAGCAGAAACCUACAAUCCAAGGGCCUUUCAAUUAGAAGUACGUUCAGAUGUGUAGUCCCAUUCUGGCAGUAGCAUACACUCCAAGUGUCCUUAUUUUCCAGGGACAGUCCCGGAAUUGUGAAAGCCAUCCCGGCUUCUGAUUUGAUCCUGGAAUGCCCCUAUUUUCUCUUUUAGUGCUACUGCUGCUGAGCUUGCAGAGGAGGAUGAGCUGCUGUUUGUCCUGAGCGAUGACGGCAGCAGCAGUGGUGUCUGUGAGGGAGCAUGUCUAAUCUUGCCCCUUUCUAAAAUUUAUUUAUGAAUGUGUGCGUUUCUUUUUUGUAAAUCUACCAAAGAAUCAAAUCAAAUCGGGUUUAGCGGCUUGUCUCAGUACCGUGUGGAGAUGUUGUGCUGUGUCUCAUUGGUGUGGUGGUGAUGGGAAUGCUUUGUGGGGUGGGGGAAUGGGGGAUUGAGGAGGGUCAGUUGGGGCAGGAGCCAUGGGCAAAUCUUUUUUAGGAAAUCAAAGUUGUUGAGCUUUUCCUUUCCCCCGUAAAAUACCCUGUAAAGAGGGACAUUGGGGGGAUCAGGCUUCUGCUAGGGGGCUUCCCUGCCUCCCCUUGGCUAUGCCCAUGGCAAGGGGUGGGGAGUAAGAAAUGCCCCUAUUUUCAUCUGAGAAACGCACUAGCAGUUCAUGCGGGGAAAUCUUUCAAAAAGUGCAGUUAAAUUUGGAUCGAGCUGAAAGCCUGCCCGUCAUGUAGGCUCACCACAAUAAUAUAUUUGAUGAAUUCAACAUAUAGCAAUUUGAAUCUAUUGCCUGCUAGCAGCCUCACGGCCAGCGUUGCUCAGCAAUUCUAAGAAACCGGAAAGUCUGUGCAGUUUUGACAUCAGUGGUUGAUAGCGGAUUUUCAUCAACGUGCUUGAAUGUUCAGAGCAUGCACAGCGCGACUAGUAAGUCGCGGGAAAAGGUUAGGCUUUUGCAUUGCAAUCAGUUACAUCGCUUCUGCAUUGCGAUGUAAAAGGCACAUGAAAAUGGAUUAAUUCAAAAUAAUAGCCAAGUCCCAACACGUUUCUAGCUUCAGGAUAACAUAUGGGGACACACACACACACACACAAAUACAAAUCUAACGUUAACAUUAAUGAAAUGUCCAAUGCCUAUUCAGGAAGGAUUGCCCUGAUUGUGAACUAGCUUCAUUUGCCCUCACUCUGCACUAACUUCUUUUGUUCUCAGUGAAGUUGUCACAAUCUGGCAAUGCCAUUGUCACUAGGAAGGGUAGUUUGAGGAAGGAGGCUCAUGAUUAAUGGAUAGCUCAGUCGGUAGAGCAUGAGACUCUUAAUGUCAGGGUUGUGGGUUUGAGCCCCACGUUGGGAGAAAGAUUCCUGCAUUGCAGGGGGUUGGACUAGAUGAUCCUCGUGGUCCCUUCCGACUCUGCAAUUCUAUGAUUAUAUGAUAGGAGCAGGUGCCUUAUAUAGGCAAGCAUGGUGGGAGCACAGGAUGCCUGAAAGUGUCAGUGCAGAAGCCUCCCUUUUCAUGGGAGUUAUUAUUUUACAAAACCACUCCCUUUCAGCCAUGUAAAAGAUUUUGUAUUGGGGAGGGGGAACUCUUUUAAAUCUUUAAUAAAGAAAACAACCCGCUAAGAUCCCUUGUUGCUAAAAAGAGUGCAGAUAUAAUGGGCAGAGCAAUGUAAUAAUUGUAAGGCUCAAAGAUUGAAGAGCUGUUUCCUUCUUGUAAUCUUGCAGGAACCUCCUGUUGCUGGAAGAUCAUUUCUAUGAACACUAAUGACCCUGAUCUCAUUCUUGAGCAUCUGUGCACAGUGUCUGAUCUGUGGCCAUUAUAGCAUGUACCUAUCCAGCCCAACUGUGUGGUUUAUGAUCCUUCCCAGUUCAUAAGGCAGCUCAUGUUGGGCGAAAGUGAGCCGUGCUUUGGAUCACAGUCUACAGAACUGUUGCCAGACGAGACCACGAAGGCGAUAAGCUAAAAAAGCAAAGAAGCGAAUACUGGAUAAAGAUUUAGGGAGGGUUCUCGAUACUACCUUGUCUCCACAGGACGUGUCCCAAAACCUUUAAUUAUAAAUAGCCAGUACAGUGGUACCUCGGUUUAAGAACAGCCCUUUUUACCAACUAUUCGGUAUACGAACUCCACAAAACUGGAAGUCUCCUGGUUUGUGAACUUUACCUCAGUCUAAGAAUGGAAUCCGAAUGGUGGAAGGCAUUGGGAGGUGGUGGGAGGCCUCAUUAGGGAAAGCGCGCCUCGGUUUAAGAACGGACGUCCGGAACGGAUUAAGUUCAUAAACCGAGGUACCACUGUACUGUAAUUGUUAGUGAUGGUGCAAAGAUUUAAAUAUAAUGAAGAAGCAGAGGGUGGGGAGGAGCUGGAAAAACAAAGGUCCUCCAUUUGCCAAGACAAGUCCCAUUCAGAAUUGGACACACUCCUUUGACUAGAUGGUCAAAGAAACGGAACAGCUCAGGCCUAGUGAUCACAGCAACUCCAAGUGGUCACCUCAGGAAUUUAUUUUAUUUAUUAGAUUUAUAUGCCACCUGUUGUCAUAAGAUCUCUGGGCAGUUCACAGAAUAAAAUACAGGGUAAAAAGAAGUAAAUAAGGAAAACAAAACAGCAAAACAAACCUGCCCCCUUCCCACAGACACAUUUAAAAGGCUGUGGGAUAUUAAUGAGCCAAAGACCUGGUUGAAGAGGAAUGUUUUCACCUGGAGCCUAAAAAUAUAUAAUGAAGGCACCAGGCAAACCUCCCUAGGGAGGGCAUUGCACAAAUGGUGUUGGGGGGGGGGCACCACAGAGAAAGCUCAUUCUUGUGUUGCCACCCUCCGGACCUCACGUGAAGGAGACACAUGAAAAAGGGCCUCAGAUGAUGAACUCAGAGUCUGGGAUGGUUUAUAUGGGGAGAGAAUGUGACCAGAAACAGUCUAUUUGGUCAGGUGGCUUGUACAAAUUAGAUGGGCGAGACUGUGGCUUAGGGGUACGUUGGGUACUGGGUGACACAGCCCAAUGUGUCCCCAUAGAGAGACGCAGCCUUGAAUGCCUUUCUCAUCCAGGAUGUGAAUAUCAUAAUUCCACUAUUUUGUAUCAGUCUCAGUGCUAUCUACACUGCCUCACAGUGGCUCUCUGGGUUUUCAAAAUGGAGUCCUUCCUGGAAAUGCAAGGAUUUGGACUGGGGCAUGUGCUCUGCCAGCCCAUGGUCCUUAAAUAUAGUAUAACUUUAUUGCCUCAACCAGUGCUAUUUCUCUAGAAAAAGAGCUGCCGGAACUCACCAUGAACUCCCUUGUUCUCUUAUAAUGGCAAUGGUAUCUACCUGAGAUGUGCUGGUACUCAGUUACGGCAAGUCCCAGCUGAAAAAAAAGCCCUGAAUUCUCAACUUGUGUAUGCCAAGAGACUAAGGCUCUUUGGCUCUGCCCACAGUUUUGAGUGCUGCCCAUGAUGGAGAACGUGUCUGGAUGAUUUAUUAAGCAGAUAGACGGGAAGGACUUCACAAGGAAACAUUAGUGGCCGUUCAUUCAAAACUAUGAGGUGAAUCCUUUAGUUAAUGAUACAUGACUGCCUGGGAAAAGGAAAAAAAAAAUCAACCCCAACCCAAACCACAGGGUCUCCCUGAUAAAUAUAUAGUGGAGAUAAAUCAUACCUCAGUUUAGAAACACAAUACGUGCUGUAAUUUCCCCCAUUUCCCCUCUAGAGACAGAUAAGACAGAUCACUGCAGCGAACAGGAAUCAUUCAUAUCACCACAUGCACACCCACUCAUGAGAUUUAAAACUAUCAUUUUAUUUGCUCUGCAUUAAGAUUCACUUAGUUUCUUGAGGCCUCAAGGAGCUGAGCAAGAGCUGAAAUGUCAUCCUGUUAACAUUUCGAAGGGCUGUUCCCUGCCCAGUUAAUGUUAAUGGAUGUACCAUCAAGAUCAAUGUACUAGCUAAUAAGAACGAGGCACGGUGACUGUCACACCAACUGCUCUGUCACAACAACAGAAACAACAUGCUAUUUGGACUGCAUGCCAAACUGUGUCUUGUUCAACAGAGUCCAUAGCUGUAAGCGUAAAGUUAUUGUUUAUUAAAUUUAUUUGUCACCAGCGCUGUAAAUUGACUCAAAGUGACUUACAAUUUGAAGUAAAAAGGUUCAAAUACAAAAGUUUAAAACAAACACCGGAAAGAAUAAAACGUAAUUUUUGAAUAGUGCUCAUCCUGAAAGGACAAUCCUAUCCCAACCCACUAAAACGCAUGAUGUUUUUAUUAUGUUUUAUUUUUAUUUAUUUUAUUAUGUUUUAUUACAGCACUAUCAAAAAUAAUAGUGCUGUAAGCCACCCAGAGUGGCUGGGGAAACCCAGCCAGAUGGACAGGGUAUUAAUAAUAAUAAUAAUAUCUAAUUAUUUUACAGAUAUAUUCCCCACCUAACCCGGAAUUGUUAUGUAGCCUUUCAUACAAGCAUGGCAGAGAGAAAAACAAGAAGCAGAGAGAGUCAAACAUGUGCACACACUCAUGAAUGCAGAUAAGAAACAUGCAUCUCUCUCUCUCUCUCUCUCUCACACACACACACACGGAUGUCUUCUUCUUUGGCGAUCACUCGUGGCCGAGUAAGAUCGUCUUCCAUAAACAUGGUUUUAACAAUGAGUCCAUAAGUGACAGUGGAGGCCAAUUCUGGAUCCACACGUCCUUCCACAGUGCGGAAAUUGGUUUCUGGGUGGGAGUUGAUCACGGUGUGGAUUUGUCAAGCGGGCCUUCCUCUUAGCAUGUUUCUCCCUUGCGUCCUGAGUCUGAGUGUCUUCAAAGCCCAUGACACCUUUGGUAAAGGCUGUUCUCCAACUGGAGUGCUCGCAGGCCAGUGUUUCCCAAUUGUGGGUGUUUAUACUACAUUUUUAAAGAUUUGCCUUGAGACAGUCUUUCAACCUCUUUUGUUGACCACCAACAUUAUGCUUUCCAUUUUAAAGUUUGGAAUAGAGUAUCCUAAGAGAAAAUUUAAUGAAAAUGAUUUAUAGGUGGUACAUGACACCAGUCAAGCUUGCAAAAAUUUAUCAUUUGCCCGACAAUAAAUGUUGGAAAUGCAAUGAGACUGAAGGUACAUUCUUUCACCUUUGGUGGACAUGCCCAAGGAUUAAGACAUUCUGGGAGAUGAUUUAUAAUGAAAUGAAAAGGUAUUUAAAUAUACCUUCCUGAAGAAACCAGAGGCCUUUCUCCUGGGCAUGGUCGGCCAAUUGGUGCCAAAGAAGGACAGAACUUUUUUUAUGUAUGCAACAACAGCAGCAAGGAUACUCGUCGCGAAAUAUUGGAAGACACAAGAUUUACCCACCCGGGAAGAAUGGCAGAUGAAGUUGAUGGACUAUAUGGAACUGGCGGAAAUGACUGGCAGAAUCCGAGACCAGGGAGAAGAGUCGGUGGAAGAAGACUGGAAAAAGUUUAAAGACUAUUUACAGAAAUACUGUAAAAUUAAUGAAUGUUAGAAAAUUGUUGGAAUGAAGUUAUAUGGCUUUAGUAGAAAUGUUAUGAGGAAUUAAGUAUAAAUAGAUUAAUAGAGUAUUAAAGGAAAAAAUAAGGUUAGAAUGAGUUAAGAUAAUUAUAGGAUAGAAAACAGAGGAAGAUGGAAAGGAAUUGCUGAAACAAUUAACAGAAGUGGAAUACAAAAAGGGAGGUGUGAGGAGGUCCUGGAAAUAAGUGAAUGAAAGAUGGGAUAAUGAAAUUGUUUGAUUUAUUUUAUUGUUUUUGUUUUGUUUUGUUAGUUCAAUGUGUUUAAUGUCAAUGCUAUGUAGUGUUUUUGUAUUGUAUUGUAUUGUUUUUGUAGUGUUUAAAUUGUUGGAAAAGUAAUUUAAAAAUAAAAAUAAAAAUAAAGUUUGGAAUAGAGUAGUUGCUUUGGAAGACGAUAAUCAGGCAUCCAAACAACAUGUCCAGUCCAACGAAGUUGAUGUUGAAGAAUCAUUGCUUCAACACUGGUGAUCUUUGCUUCUUCCAGUACAUGGGCAUUAGUUCACCUGUCUUCCCAAGUGAUAUGUAGAAUUUUUCAGAGACACCGUUGAUGGAAUUUUCCGAUGAGUUGGAGAUGGUGUUUAUAAGUGGUCCAUGUUUCACAAGCAUACCAUAUGAUUGGCUAGUUGUCUUUUGGUGUUACAUAUCAUAAAACCCAUUUUCACCUGCAGUUCCUCCAUGCACUAGGGCUACCUGUGCAAAGUCUGCUUCCUAACAGGUAUAACAAGUAGCUGGGUCAGGCUGGUCAUUUGAAACCUUGGCUGGAAAAGUUUGAUGUCCUCACUGGUGAUGCCUCGCCUCUUCAGGAAGAAUUUCCCUGUUUUGCAUGUUUAUCAUUUUGUGUCUUUUAUGCUAAUGUAGCAAUAAAACAUUAUGAUCCUCAUCAGCUGGCUCUGAAAUAGCAUCCACAAUGACAGCAUUCUCUUCUAAAAUAAUAGGCUAUAUCCAACAAGUCAUAAUCAGAACAGACCCAAUAAAAAUCAGUAGACUUAAGCUUGUGAUCUCCAUUAAUUUCUACGGGUCUACUCUGAGCAUGGCUUAGUUGAACACAACCCAAUGAUUGUGAAUCAGGAUUGCAUUAGCAAAGUUGACAAACCUGUCCACACUUAGGGGGACGUCCCAUAUAGAACACUUAAGUAUAUGUGCAUAGGAUCAGGUUAAUAUUGCUAAAUCGAUAAAUACUACAUGCUUCAAAACAAAACAGCAAAAGCAGUCUGAAACAGAAAGAGGGGGAAAUAGACACCACUUGCACUACAUUAAUCACCCAGCAGUUUAAAGAUCCCCCUGUCUUUCUUUUUAUCCAAAAUUCAGAUUAUCUUGCUUUAGAAGCAGUUCCCAGGGGCAUCUAGAUAAAUGAAGUUUGUUCUGUGACUGACAUAGUUUAAAAUGAGUGUGUGUUUAAAGUAAAAAUAGCAAGAACAAUAUAAAAAGAUUGGAGCGCUAUCCUUUUGCUGUCCUAGCUAUUACACCAGUAGGAUCAGUGAGCACAAUUUGAUUAUACCUCCACAUAUUUCACUCUGCCGGUAGUGUUAAGAGAAGCCAUUUUCAAGCUAUUAUUUAAGCCCUGAGUUAUGGGCUCUGUUUUGCUGCAUUAUUAAAUUUAAAUACUGUCACGGAAGGAAGAACUGUUCUGUGAAAAUGAAAACGUGGCUUUCUAUAUAUUUUUCUACUAGGACACACCAAGAUACGAGCAGAGAUUUGGAAGAUCAGUGAAACCAGAACAUAUUUCUAACUGGCUUACAUGAAUAACCUUAAAGCAAAAUUCCUCUCUGACUGAAAUGUGAAUGCUAUUCCUCAGUUUAAGAGGAACAGAUCUUGUCCCAGAAAAAUUAAGACAGCGAGACUGAAUGUGUAUAUUAGGAGAAAUGAGUACUAAAAUGUUGAAGAAAUUUCAUGAGGGUUUUUGUUGUUGUUUAAAUUUGCAACAUGAUAUGGAAAUGUGGAGAACUGCAUUUAAGAUUGGAAAAAUGAGAAGCAGAGAGAAACUACAAUGGCCAGAUCAGUGGCAGAGCUUCAUACUCCGGCACCGGGGGGAGGAGAGCAGGCGGGGGCGGGGCACACCACCUGCAGGGGCGUGGCACCCAGCACGGGCAGGAGGGGCAGCUGCAAUGGCCCCCUACCAGGAUCGCACUGCAGGGGACGGUGCGCUCCCCCCGCACUCCUCGUCCACUGCCAGUGGGCCCGAUAUGCCCUCCCUAGCUGUGGGACCAAAAGUGAAUUGAAUUUGGCAGAAGCUAGAGUAAGAAACAGGCUCAGCUAAAACAUAGAAUCAUAGAAUUGUAGAGCUGGACCCUCUAUUCCAACCCCCUUCAAAGCAUCCUUAUAAACAUUGCUUUCAGCUGAUGCCUGUACAAGGCAGGAAUGACUUUUUGGAACCCAAUCCUUCAUUAGCUCCUGUUUGUGCCCAUCACUUCCACCCAUGCCAGGAAAUGGAAGGAAACAUAUUUAUGUCAGUUACCACCACCAGGCCAAAAUCACAUUGUUUAAAAUCCCUCUCUCUCUCUCUCUCUCUCUCUGUGUGUGUGUGUGUGUGUUACCUAAUGACACUAAUUCAUAGUUUCAUAGUGCUGGCUGAUUCAAGAUUGCUGUUUUUAGCUCAUUAACUGUUCCACUUUAUUAAAUUAAUUGCUUAAUUAGCUGGCUAAAGUGAAUUAUUUCAAGUUUCAGUUGAUGAACAAAAGGGAUAUUUUCAGGUUACUUUAGGUUAGCUUCUCUCCCCCCCCCCCCAGCUAACUAUUGGAGGAACAAACCAAAAGCAACGUUUUCUUGAAUGGAGGGUGGGAAACUUCCUUAGGUGUGUGUACAUACCCUCUCUAUUUUCUGUGCAUGGUAGGAGUGGCACAAAAUUUUACAUGCCUUAUUUAAUUAUGUCCUCUGUUUAACCGAUUUCUCAUAAUAAUUGUUCUCUAAAUGGCACAGUUUUAAACCAGUAUAAAAUCACAGUUGAACAUAUUUUAGCAACAGGUGUAACAACAGACAACACUAAAUGCUCUCCAAUUUGUGGGCUGUAAGGUAAUGUCACUGGAAUGCCUGAAACAGGGGCACCAACUUGGGCCCCAGGUUAUGGGCACCCAAUGGCACCUGCGACAUAACGUGGCAUUGUGAUGUUACGUUAAUCACUUUAAAUUUUUUUUAGUGGGUGCCCAGGCCCCCAGCACCCCUUAUACUUGGCGCCUAUGGCCUGAACAGUAAAAAUGGGUCAAUGAAGUCCCCAGGCAUGGCUUCUGUUCGACUGGGCUGCUCAAGGAUGCCUGGUUUAUUUCAAACAUGAGCAUCCUCCUUGAUCAUCUCUUCUUAGAGAACAUAAGCCAGGACAGUGGAUGAGGGGGUCAGCAUCUCUCUUCCAUAAGCCCCUAUUUCUGUUAAUAAUAGAUCCCAGAAUCACUCUUUCUAUGUGAUUGGGACACUUCUGUAUUUUAAUUGCUGCUUUCAUACUAGUUUGGUCAUCAGUUGGAAGUACCUUUUUGUUAACCUGGUCUGAGUCCCUCCUGCUCUUUUCCUUUUUUUGUUCUUGAGCUAGAUCACUUCCUUGUUGCUGUUCAGUGUCAUUGAAUUUAUGGGUUGAUGGCAAAGGGAGGAAGGUUUCAUUGUCGAUCCGAUAAACAAUUUAGCAGGGCACAUGGUCCUGUUGCAAUGGAAUGUGAGAUCAGUUGAUGAACAGCUGUGGUGUGGGCCAACAGAGGCUUCAGUUCGUUUAUCAUUAUUUUUUAAUUUUUAAAAAAAAAAAAUUCAAAUUUUACAAUACAGUUACAGUACAAUACAUGUUCAAUCAACAUAUGCAGAAAAAGUUCGUGAAAUGGAUGUGUGAAAAAGGUGCAUUCUCAAGGAACAUGUGGAAGAGUCCUCAACGGUUGUCUCUCUCUGAGUUUGUCUUGUCUCCUUUCCUAACUUACUUAAGUCUCACCUGCAUUGAAGCAACAGGAGCCAAUUAAAAUGAGAACAGUGCUUUCAGCAUGGUUGAUUAAGGGCCAGAAAAAAUACUGAAAAUAAAUAGAAAAGGGGUAUGGAAGACCAUGUAAUAUCCCCAUGUGGUGGCAUCCACUUAAGCGGUAUAAUCAACCCAAACAGCUCUGUUCUUCUCUUGGAAAUAUUAACACAUCGGUGAUGCUGUAUUGAAACAACAGGAUAGCUCUUUCACGUUUACUCACUAGCCCUGUGUUAGAUCUGUUGAUGGGCAAUUCUUGACAUACACUUAAUUGAAAUAGCAGCAAAGCAAAACAUAAACCCCUCCCCUUGACAUAUAAAUGGCUGCGGCUAAUACAAUAAAGAAUUGAUGCUUUUGAAUUAUGGUGCUGGAGGAGACUCUUGAGAGUCCCAUGGACUGCAAGAAGAUCAAACCUAUCCAUUCUUAAGGAAAUCAGCCCUGAGUGCUCACUGGAAGGACAGAUCCUGAAGCUGAGGCUCCAAUACUUUGGCCACCUCAUGAGAAGAGAAGACUCCCUGGAAAAGACCCUGAUGUUGGGAAAGAUGGAGGGCAUAAGGAGAAGGGGACGACAGAGGACGAGAUGGCUGGACAGUGUUCUCGAAGCUACCAGUAUGAGUUUGACCAAACUGCGGGAGGCAGUGGAAGACAGGAGUGAGUGCCUGGUGUGCUCUGGUCCAUGGGGUCACGAAGAGUCGGACACGACUAAACGACUAAACAACAACAACAACAACAACAACAAUACAAAUACAGUGGUACCUCUGGUUACGUACUUAAUUCAUUCCAGAGGUCCAUUCUUAACCUGAAACUGUUCUUAACCGGAAGCACCACUUUAGCUAAUGGACCUCCUGCUGCUGCCGCGCAGCCGGAGCACGAUUUCUGUUCUCAUCCUGAAGCAAAGUUCUUAACCUGAAGCACUAUUUCUGGGUUAGCAGAGUCUGUAACCUGAAGCGUCUGUAACCUGAAGCGCAUGUAACCCGAGGUACCACUGUACAAUAAAGCAGGGAUAUGUGCAGAGCUUCACAAACAAUGGUUCCCUAGAAAAUGAGGGAUAGCCAUAUCAACCGUGAUUUUGUGUUAUAAACUUGUUAUAAUUUCUCUUAUAUCAAAAGUCUAGAAUGUAUUCCUAAUGUCUUCAGCUCCCACUUCGUCUCGGCUUUGAUAUUUCGUUUGGGGUUGCCAUAUGUCCUCUUUUUCCAGGGCACACCCUCUUUUUCUAGGCGAGAGCCGUCAUAGAGAUCCACCGUUUAAAAGCAGAAGUUGGCAAAUGUGUCCUCUUUGAAAUAUGGCAACCCUACAUUUCAUACCUCUUUUAUGUGAUGAUUUAGUUCCAUGUUUGAUUUUGCGUUUUAAUAAAACAUUUCUUUAAAAAACCCCAAAACUAAUAAAGCCGAACAUGCAAAGUUGAACAGCUGUACAAUAUGUCGUUUUCCUAGCAUAACCGUUCUUUGUGUGUGUAGUUCAGUGUUUCUUUCUUUGCUAUUUAUGCACCAAUGAGUUGUCUUCAUAAUAAAUGUACAGUUUAAUUACUUUUGUAACGACCCCUUUCUUAAAACUAAACACAGGCAGUUCAUUUCAAUGGCUACCAACAGUGCCUACUAGUUUGCUACAAAUUCUAAAUUCAAUUGCAAAUUGGCAGGAAUUAUUCCAAGUUGAAUUUAGUCGUGGUUUGAUUUAUUAACAACAUAAUUACCAUUUCAUUAAACACCGAUUUUCUAAAUGCAGUGUUAUUUUCAGCUGAUUGGGAUGCAGGAAGUAGCUGCUUCCAAGCUUAUCAUCAUAAUUGACUGACAGGCAUUAAGAAGCCACAGAAAGGCUCUGCUUCAAUCAUCCUUUUAACAAAAACUUCAAGGAUAAUUGAGCCUCUUUUGAAAGCAGACUGUUGAACAGGAACAUAGAAAGCUGCCAUACACUGAGUCAUAAUAAAGGUCCAUCGAGUUCAGUAUUGUCUAUAUACCAAAGCUUUCCAAAGUGUGUGUCCCAACACGUUAGCGUGUCGGCUGCAGUGUUUAAGUGUUUUGCACGAACACUUCCUUCGCUCCUUGCGGGGCUGGAAUGGGUUUAGUUUAACCUCCAAUUUGCUAGCAAAACUGGAUUACUGUAUCACGAAAUGAAACAUGUCUGAAAAAUGUGUCACCAACAUGGAAACUUUGGAAAGCUCUGGUCUACAUUGAAUGGUAGUGGUUCUUCAAGGUUUCAAGCAAGAGUCUUUUCCUAGCCCUAAACUAGAGAUGACAGGAACUGAACCUAGGACCUUAUACAUGCAAAACAGAUGCUCUACCAUUAAUCUACAGUCCUUCCACUACAUCACAGUUGCAGAAUCUCUGGCACAAGAAGUUCUUAUUCCAAAAGUCCCACAGUGGGUUAUAACAUCAUUGCACAAUUUUUUUAAAAAAUGGUUCAAAACAUUGUACUUCUGAAUGCCAGUGAGCACAGGAGAUGCCAUUACAAUAGUAAUAAUUUCCCCCCUUGGGAUUCUCAGAAGCUCAGCUCUAGAUGAAAAACACUUUCCUGCAUGAUGGGGAUACCAAUCAAUACUGAAUGUCCCAAGUGGACAUGUAAUGGAUUUCUGAUGGGUGGGGGUGCAGAGUAGUGAAAUAAAAACCAAAAUGAUGGGAAUUUUGAAAAAAAAAUCAUAAUCAAAUGAAAUUGCGGGCAGGAUUUGGAAUUUGAGCGACUGGAAGAAAUGGUAACAUAUGAAAUAGAGGAUUAUAUAUUAAAUGAAAUGUAUGGUGUAGCAGAGGAAUGUGUAUUAGGUGAAUUAUGCAGUCUACAAAAGAGAUGGGUAUAAAAAGAGCAUGGAAAGGAAGGUGGGAAGUCAAAUUAUAAGGGAAAUGUAUAACAAAUUUGAAGUUUGAAAUUAAUUGGUUAAGUUAUGAAAAUGUAAUAAAAAUCUUAAUUAAAAAAAGGAAGUUGGUAAUAUUGGCUUCUGAACAGAGAAAAGAAAUGGCAAGUUGAGAGAAAAUUUACUGCCAUUCAAAAGAAAUGUGGUUGAUUACUAAUAUGCAGGGAGCAUUUAUAUGCACCCAAGUACCAUCAUUUUAAAAGCCUGCUGAUGCUUUUCAGACCCAUAUAAAUGAUAAUAAAAAAAACAUUUUAAGAGCCUGAAGAAGCAUUUCAGGAAAGGAGGGUGGAAGAAGGGCUUCUGGAUCUUGUGGUUCUGUGCAUGAAGGAAGGAUAAGUGGAGUUUUGAAGAGUUCUGAAUAUUCACACCAUGAGCCUGAUGAAAUGGGAAGGAACUUGACAUUCCAAACUGAUGGCCUUGUAGCAAAUGUGUGAUGAUCAUAUUGACUUUCCCUGAGCCAUAGCAACCCUGUAAUUCACCUUCUUUUAAGGACACAUUGUAGGAGUUUUCUAUCAAAAUAUUAAGUGAACUGCUGUUUCCAUUAGAGGCCAUUUUUAUGAGACCCAUUAAUCAAUUUGUGCUAUUUGUGGGUUUCCAGAUGGGUUUUGUGUGCAUGCACAGGAAGACCACAUUAAUCCUUUAGGGCUGAAAUAAUUAUGGAAUCCAAGGCUACAUUUAAUAGAAUACACAAUGUUUCAAAAUCCUAGGUGGGACAAAUACUUUACUUAUUUAGAAAAUGUUAUGCCCCGCUUCAGGAUAGACGUCAUGGACUGGUUGGAUGCAGAGGAAUGGUGGAAGGAACCAGCUGGGGAACCCCCAAGGGAAGAAGGCUCAGAGCCCAGGGACUGGGGUGGGGUGACAAUGUGGUUGGAGGGAGAAGAGGGAGAAACCUGGGAGGAAAAGUUAUUGGAAGCUGAAGAGGUAAGAGGGAUAGUGAACAGGGAGAGUCUGUGAAUCAGAAGCUGAAGUCCAGACUCAGAAGCUGAAGCAGAAGAGGAGUGAGACCAAGAGGCAGAGUGAGUCAGGCUGGUGAAGAAGCCAGGGUGUCUCCCCCUCCUGCUGUGACCAGCUCCCUUCCCUCCUAGUCUAGCAGGUCCAGAAAAGGUAUGAAGUGGGAGGCGCAGACGCAGGCGCAUUGUCUUAGUCUCAGAUUGCUUGGGAAGGAUCCAAGGGAGGAAGAAAUUUAGACAGCGGUAGGAAGACAGGGAUCUUCAGCCUCCGCAACUGCCUCAUAGGGGCAAGACCUACUGAUAAGAGUUGCUGUGCCCAUUAGACCAGGCUCCCUGAGCAGGCCUUGUGUCUUCUAAUAAAGAGUUAACUUCACAUAUCCCUUGUGAUUUAUUGUGGGAUUUGCUAGCUCUAGGAGGAGGGGCGUGAUUCCUCAGCUGGAGUAGGCUUGGAACAGGUCUUAUCAAGCCCAGAGGCUGCAAUCAGCAUGCAAAAUAUAAAAGGGCAGCAGAGCUGAGGUGUUGGGUCUGCUCAGCUGCCCAUGCUGAUAGGCCUCGGCUUGGAUGUUCCCAGUCCCUCUAUUGGACUGUGCUUCAGGUUUGACACUGGACUGCAUUUUUCUGACCUUUGGACUGACCCCGGACCAUGUUUCCUGACUGUUGAACUUCAGACUUGCCAUACUGACUUGCUGCCAGGUAGGCCAGGGGUUCGGGACAUUCUCUUUUCCCCAUCUUAUUACUAUAACCCUGUGAGGUAGCUUAGGCUUCAAGACUGUGACUGGCCCGAGAUUGUCCAGCGAGCUUCAUGACUAAGUGGGGAUUUGAAUGAACCCUGGUCUCCCAGAUCCUCUAACCACUAUCCCAAUUGGCUCUAUAACAAUAGCCAUCGUUAUAUAUCCCACAACACAUCCAAAUCUACAUUUCCUCCCAAUUCUUUUGUAAUGGCUGAAUAGUGCAUAUUUCUGUUUACUGCUUCUCUGGCAUGGAGGAGAAUGAUAGUAUUUAAAGUAUUCAUUACUUGCCAGUAGUUCAGUCUUAAUUUGGCUAUGUAACAGAAGAAAAAAAUGUGCACCUGGAGGAUCCCCCACCCCCAUCUCAAACAUCACUGUACUCUGGGAAGGCGUGUCUUUAUUUAAACCCUGUAUGCUUAUCUGCUGAUUUUCUCAUGUGCUCUAACAGCCAUAACACAUGUGAAUGCCCAUUCAAGCAAACAAUGGUCUAUCAAACCAAUAAAAGAAACCACCCUUUCAUUUUCUAUAGCUAAUCAGCCCCACCAGUCAUAUCCAACAUGUGCACCUUGUAUUUUGCAACCAAAGAGGCAAACGGCUGGUCUUUAAUAUUUUCUCCUGUGCAAUGCAGUACUGUUGACUGACUGUAAUGUGAAGUCCCUAAAAUGAUCAGCAAGCAGAGGGGCUCCACGCCUGCUGAAGCUGAUAAACUGUAGACUCUUGAAUCCCCUUUCAGGGUGAUGUUUCAGUAACCCAGUGAACAGGAUGCAAAAGCGCGAGUGACAGAGGUGAUGCCUGCUCUUGAGAUGUUGCUAGGAGAAGCAAACAUGCUGAAGCAGAAAACACAUCAUAUGGACCACAGCAAAACAAAAUAGGUCUGCAGGCUGAGCAAGGACAUUUCUGCUGUUCCACCCGUCUUGUCAGCUCUCAGUGGAGAUCAGGAAAGCCCUGAUAAUGUGGUUGUUUUGCAUACAGACCUUUCUGUUUACCAAGACAUUUCUUGAUUGUUUAUGUUGAGUUGGGUAUACACAUUGCUGUGUGAACAUCUGUAUUGACAGUGGUGUUGCUGAUAGUUUUUGGGUAUUCUUUAGUUAUGCUAUUGCUAGUCCUGAUUGGGCCAGGAUCCGUAGAUGUGUGUAUACAUGAGUUCUACAUCUGUAUCAGUAAGCAUGGUAUGAUGCUGGCAACCAUCCAUCAAUCAUAGACUCAUAAAGUUGGAAGGGUUUCCAAAUAUCUUGCCUCUUGCUAGUUUCCCUUAUGAACUGUUGAGUUCUUCCAUUCUUUCUUAGCACAAAUUUAGCAGAAAUGCAUUCGUUGCUGCCUUACCUGGAAUGGCUUCCUUGUUUGUGACAGUGCAUUCCCUUAGAUAUGUGAUCUUAUUAACUUGAGUGCAAUCACAACUGUUUAUAGGCCUCCUAAGCUGAAAAGGCUGAAUAAAGGCUGGAUAAAGCAAGAAAAGAAUAUCUAGAAAUCAAACACUAUUUGGAGAUAAAAGAAUAAAUGCUGCUAUCAUUACUAGUAUCCGUCAAUAAAACCACUGGUCGAGGCUGAUUGUAGGUAACAUCCAAACAUGAAAGAGAGUACUACAGAUUGGAGAACAGGCUCAGAAUAUAGGCAGUCAAGUGGCCUAAGCCUAAUAGGUGUCCCAUGCCUAAUUUCUUGACCAGUGAAGAGCCACACAUUCCCACAGCUCCAGGUUCAAAACAAGAGAGUUUCAUACCCAGUUUACGAGAGAACUCACCCUUUCCCCAAGAGUAGGUAUGGGGAACCUCCAGGCAGAAUUUGGCCCAGGAUGCAUUUGGAUCCCUCACCCCAUGCAGCAAAUUAGGCUAAUUUUUUUUUAAAAAAACCUCUCAGUUGUGCUAAUUGUCAAACAUGUGCAUGGGGUAGAGGGGUUUUUUUGGGGGAGGAGAGCAGGUGAGCAGCAGGCUCUCCCCAGUUUUCUCUGUACGCUACAGCUGAAUUAGCAUCUUUGAAGAGGGAUAGUUUUCCAUUUUGAAUUCUAAAUUAUUAUUAUGUUUUUAAAAGAAACCCUGCAGCACUCUAGCCCUUGAAAGGUUAUUACAGGUAAUGGCCAUCUCGACUUGGCUUCAACUGAGUGCUUCGGCAGAGGAAAAUUAAGGAACCUUCUGCCUGCUGUGCAUUCUGAACAUUAAAUGCUCUGCGACGCAUUCUGAAAAACCAGGCUGUCAUUUAUUUAAAAAAUGGCCUCCUCCACCCACACUAUUUUGCAGCUUGAUAUUAGUGCUAUAGUGCUAUUCUUGAUAGCCCUGGAUUAUGGCAGGCACUGUGAUUCAAGUGGCACAAUGCCAUGAAACAGAAAAACCUCUGUACUGGUUCCUUACUGUCCUCCAAGCACAAUCAAGGUGUUGUGUUACAUGGUUUGUGAUCUGCCUACCUGAAUGCAUCUCUCUCUCUCUCUCUCUCUCUCUCUCUCUCUCUCUCUCUCUCUCUCUCUCAUAAAGUAAGUCCCAGUGGUGUGAAACAUAGUGAAACUGUUAGGGCCAGAGGCACUAGCUUGUGAGGGUCGAUGUCAUGCAUGUGAUGUUGUAAUGUCCUGAUAUUGUGUGCGUGAGCAUCACACCUCCCUCCCUAAGCGGGGAAGAAGCUUCCCAGGCUUUGUGAAGGAAGCACCAGGGGAACAUUUAGGAGACUAGCUAGUCUCCUUAGUCCACUGACCGCAUGCCACUGGUAAGUCCCAUUUUCCUUAAAGGAGCCCCAGCUACAGGUAAGUGCAUAUAGAGCCAUACCUACACUGUAUAUUUAAAGUCACAUCAUAUGAUUUUAUAAUGAAUUGAUUUUAGAAUGCUUAUUAUUUUACUGUUGUUAGCCACUCUGAGCCCAGCUUUGGCUGGGGAGGGCGGGAUAUAAAUAAAAUGUAUCAUCAUCAUCAUCACUUUAAGCUGUCAUGGCUUCCCCCAAAGAAUUCUGGGGAAGUGUUAAGGGUGCUGAUAGGUGCUGGGAGACCUCUAUCCCCGCCCCCGAGCUACAAUUCCUAGAUUGAUUGACUGAUUGCUAAACCACUCUGGGGACGAACUACAGUUCCUACAGCUGUUUAAAGUGGUAUGACACUGCUUUAAAUGUACAGUGCCGGUGGAGCCUGGGGUUACACAAGGGCUGUCCCCCUUAACUCAAUGGGACUUAAUUCUCAGUAGAUAUGUAUAUGCUCUAUAAAACACUGACUUGGGCUUGUCUGUUUGCUCUUUAAAGUCAAGAUUAAGCUAUUAAUUGGGAAUGUGGUUUUAGGAUAUGAAUUGUUUAUCUCAAAAUUCAUUGUGAGAUAUACCGAAAACCAUUUUGAAUCCUAGGAAAGGGACAGGUUAUGGAUAAAAAUAAAUACACAGACGAUGCCGUAUUCAGACAGCCUGUGGUUCACUUAGUAAAAGGAUGUUUAGAACUGUGUGUUGCAGUUCAUAAUCCAAUAAAUAACUGCUUAAUAAUCUUAACACACGCCCUCCUCUGCUUCAGCCUCAGAGUCUGAACUGCUCCCUGUCACAGGUUCUUCCUGCUCACUAUAGCCUGUUAUCCCUUCAAUGCCCAGCACCUCCUCCCAAUCUUCUCCCUCUGACCUCGUUAGUAGCCCACCACCAAUCCCCAGGCUUUGAACCUUCCUCCUCUGGGAUUUCCCUUGGGGGUUCCCCAGCUGGUGCCUCCCACCACUCUUUGUCAUUCAGCCAAUCUCUGACAGGCAGCAGCAGAAGUGAGAGUGCUAUGCAUGUGUGUAUAUUUGGUGAGUGGUUUACUCUGCUGCCUAUUGGAUCUGCCUGUAGUUUUUAUGGUUCCCCAUCUGCUUUUGUUUUAGUUUAUAUUGAUGUUUAAGAGGACACUUUAUCUAAUUGUUCUGUGCUACUCUAAAAUCUGGAUUUUUAAAUUGUGUUUUUGGUAUUGAUUGACUUGUGAUUUUUUAAAAGAAAAAUAGAAUAAAAUAAAGGAUGUUAUAAAGGCAUCUCUGAAGUUUGAAGUAGUAAAUAAAUUACCUAAAUAGAUAAAUAAAAACAGAUUUUCAGAAAUGAAUCUACCGAUAACUCAAUGCCUUUUUUUAUUACAGUGUCAUGAUGAUUGCUAACUAAAAGCAAUUCUAACUCAUUUGUUCAAUCCAUUGGAGGCAUUAUUAUUUCUAAAGCAAUAAAGGAUGUUCUCAAAGAAACUUUCCUGUUCUGGUCUAAACAACAAUAAAGGAGUUAACUCGGGGAAAGGCAGAGCUCUUCAAAGAUUGCACUACAUAUUUUUAUUUUUUUAUUUUUGAAAAACAGCCACAGUUAUUCUUGGAAGUUAAUGUACCUUUUUUGCUUUAGUCUCUAACCCCCAAUUAAAACAGAAUCACCAGGGGGUGCUGUUUAAGUGAACAAAUGAGUUAUUUUACCUGCAGAUGGAUAAAAAGAAAAAGAAAAUAAACCCUUGCAAGCAAUUGGAAGUUGAACACCCUUCAGCGAAAAAUGCAAGAGUAUUAUGCCUCCUCACGAAAAUCAGACAAAGCUAAGUCAAGUGAUAUUCCAAACAAAUUGAAACAGCUUCCAGGGUAUAAUGAAAGCAAAGCUUGAUGUUUGGAAUGAUGAGGAUAUAAGAGUUCAGCUCCAAACACCCAGGAAUUAGCAAUAAUAGUUACAUGACACACCAGGGUGCUAAAAUAGUCUAACACAAUGACACAUUGGCUCUGCAUGGUGGAGGUGUCAUGCAUGGUGAUUAACGUUAGCCAGUUUUGAUGGAUGGCUUUCAGCUAUUGUUGCCUGAGGCAGCCGCUAAGAUUUGUGAAGGGUUUGGAGCCCACCAUUAAUUCACUUGACCCUCUCCCAUCAUGGCUAGUGAAAACUGCUGAGCGUCGGUUAAAUACUCUCUUGACAGCUAUGGUGAAUAUACCUCUUGAGAAGGUGUUAAGGUCUAAUGUCAUAAAGGAAGCACUGAUAUAAUCAUUCUUUAAAAAGCCCGCCCAGAUCGCCCCAGAUGCUUAGAAUGUCAAAAUUAUGAUUGUUUUUUUGCACGAGGUAAUUGAUCAGCUAGUAUUGGGACUGCUCUAGAAAUUCUUGGAGGAGAUGGCUUUUCUGGGCCCAUGUUGUUGGCAUCCAUCUGCCUCUGGGGAGAAUCACGGUGCCUGCUGUGGCUGCAGAGACUGGUCCCUUGUAACUGCUGCUUCCUGCGUUGUUUUUGCUGCGAUAGAAGCAUCAAAGUGAUCUCUGUGGGGCACAAGCCUGGGCAGUGUGUAUGGAGGUCCUGGGCUGCCCAGAUGACAAGACCCCACUCUUGGCCUUGCUGAUGUGGUCCAAAGGAAAGCAGAGCAAUACGUCUGGCACCAGGAGUUGCCUGAAGGAGGCAUAUAAGACACCAUCCAAUUGUCUUAGGGGCUCCACUCCAGAUUUGGAGGGCUUACAUCUUAGCCUUUUCUUCUCCCAAAGAUGUCCCACAAAGCAGCAGGCCCCAUAUAAGUCAGGAUUCAGGCCACAAUCUAUAUUUGUUGCCCUGAUCAAUGAUCUACAGAUGGGCAGAGAUAGUGUGAAUCUUUUUCAUAUUAUUUCUUGGCCUCUCAAUGCCUUCUGACAUCUAUAGACCAUCAAAUUCAUCUGAAGGGCCUGAGAUGGGCAAGAUUGUAGUGUCUACUUAAGCCAAUCCAUCCCUUGGGACCACUGAGUUCAAUUGGGCUUAUUCCCAUACAGGUGAUUAUAAUGCAGAGGUAGAGCACAACCUAAAACAUUCAACGGGGGGGGGGGGGGUGUUAAGAGAAGGAAAACGUUGGAUUUUUAGAGUGGAAAAUCAUAAAGCAUACUACAUCUGUUUUCACUGACUAUAAUGCACGCUGUUUUCUUCCGUGUGAAGUUCCGGAUUCACUGUAGUAAUUUAGAAGUGAAGCAAACAGCCAUAUAGGUACAAUAUUUAUCGGCUGAACUUAACCUUUUCUAACUGAGCAAACCAACUGAGAGACUUGCUCUUCAGAUUUUAUGCAUCUUAAAGAUACAAUAUCCAUAUGGGGCAUGUGUGCCAAUCAGGCUGCAGAAUAGGAGAGAGGCGGCGGCAUGGAAAUGGUGGGUGGGCCAUUACCAAAGGAGAUUUGAAAAAAGGUGAAAAUGGUAAUCAUAGGAGCCAACUCCUAGGGACCAAGGUCCCUUCAACUCCCCCUCCAAUAACAUACUUGUGGGGGCUGGGCAUUCAAAUAGCAUGUCUUGUGAUUGAUUAAGCAGGGCAGGGCUUACUUGGCUCUCCCCCCCCCCAUAUUUAAUUCAAGUUGGCACCCCUGGUUGGACUAUAUGAAACUUGCCGAACUGACCGGGAGACUCCGAGACCAGAGAGAAGAGACGUGGAAGAAGAUUGGAAGAAGUUUAAGGAAUAUUUGAAAAAACAUGUUAAUAUUUAAAUCUUAGAAUAGCUUUGGAAGUGGAUUUAGGCUGUAGGGUUAGAAGUAGAAGAUAGUGUGUUUUAAAAUAGUAUUAUUUGCAAGUGAUAAAAUGUGAAGAUUUUUUAUGGUUAAAGUAAGUGUGAUUAAAAAAAGAGCUUAGAAAUUAUGAUACAUGUAAAUUGCUAAAGAUGAGGUAAAAUGAAAAUCAGAUGGGGGGACUUGGGGAAGCCCACCUAACAAUGUUUAGAAAAAAUAAGGAUAAGACAAGAAUCUGUUUGUAUUGUUUGUUUUCCUGUGUGUGUUGUUUAUUUGUGUUAUAAAAUGAAUAUUUUUUUUUGGAAAAAAUAAAACAAAAAACAAAUUGGCACCCCUGGGGGUAACUGUGUGUGCGCACGCAAAGGGGGCUGCACAGCAGGGGAAAGGACGCAACAUGGAAAUUGGGGGAUGAUCUGCAUGCAAUGGAGAACUGAGGAAAAAUAAGAAGAGGGAGUGAAGGGAAAAGAGAGCGAAGGUGAAAAUGGGAAUCUAAAAUGGGUUGUGAGAAAGGAGAGAGGUGGGGGAAUGGGAAAAGGUUUGAAGAUGAUAGGGCAUGGCAAGGUCUGAAGAAGAGGAGGGGAUGGUGGCUUCAGAACUGGGCAGAAAGUAAAAAGCGUGCUUAGCAGUUGGAAGGAGGAAGGUGCAGGAAAUUGCCGUGGGUGUGGAUUGUGGGCAAGGGAGGUUGUGCAAAAGGAGAGAGGAAGCAUGGGCAUGGGGCAAAGGCGAGCUUCGUAGUUAUGAAGUUGGGAAGGGGAAACUCUAGUGGUUAAUUUGGGAGGAAUGGCAGUGGGUUGGUGAGCAGAGUGAGCAGGGUCAUGACCCCAUGUAAAAUAAAUAACAGCAACAAUGUAGGAGAGCUUAGUGUGGGGCAGCCUGGUCAUGCGUAUGGGCUCUCUGUCUCCCAGCGGUUAUUGCCAUUUUUGAGAACAACAUAUAAAGAAUGGUGGAAACCAGAAAUUUUCUUUGGGGCAUUUUCUGAAGCUUGAGUUUGUUCAGAAGGAGCACAAUAAAUUCUGACAGAUGGUGCAGACCAAAAGAAGAACUGCCUUUUGGAAAUGGAAUGGGUCAGAUUUUGUAGCAUAAACACUACAAUCUCAAUGUUUUCCUAGGGCAAUAAAAUUUCACAGAACUCGGAAAAUAUAAUAGUGCAAAAGGCAAAAGCAGUAUCUGUGUGUGUGUGUGUGUGUGUGUGUGUGGUGUCUCAUCUCUAAGAAAGUUCACAUUCCUUUCAUAACUUUGAUACAUUGUUCUUGGAGGCAUAUUUUAUAAGUAGGACCUUCUAAAGUUAAGCUGUCUCGAUAUAUCAGAUUUUUAUUAUUUUAAAAAAGGAACUUUCUAUUUUUUGGCACCAAAUGUAUUCUACCUCAGGACUGUUCUGAAUGUAAUGGACCAUUCAAUGUUUUGGCAGAGAUAUUAGUAGAGUAAUGAUAAUGGAAUCUUCCAAUCCAUACCUGUGUGUCAGAAGAAUUGAAAAUAGCUCUUUUCCCAGUUGAGAUGCACCUGAGUUAUAUCAACACAGAAUUUGAACUGCUGGAAACACAUCUCUUUUUUUAAAGGUGUUUUUUUUAACCCUAUUCUGUGUUAUUUUGUAACUUGAUUGCCCAAAUGUCUAAUUUUUGAACGAAUGCUCCAAUUACUUGAAGAGAUGCAAAUUGACAUAUCAAAAAUUUCCAGUAAUGCAACCAAAAAGUGGAGCUGUGAGGAAAAAAUCUGCCAUUCACUGGAAAUUAGCUAUUUAAGUUUCCUCCCUGUAUUGGCAGUUUGACAGCCCUGUGAUUAUCGUAAGAUUUGUUCCCAUUUUGUUGUUUAUUUGCAUCUCCCCAAGCAGAUUAUCUGGUGGAAUUCAUCAAAUUUUGUACAUAAAUAACACUUGGGACUGAUGAAGAAUGUGAAGUAUUUGGCAUGGAAUGACUAGAUAAGGUGCAGAGCAAAGGUCACCAAGCUUUCUGGGUUGGUUGCGGGGGAGGGGGAAUUUGGAAUUUGAGACAAGUAUGGCUGAGGUGCCAAUUCUCAACCCACAUACCUGGAAACAAAUCCAACUGCAGAAAAGGGAGGAGGCCUAAGCUCCAUGAUAGAGCAUUUGCUUUGCUCAUUUCUCUGCACAUCCAGUUAAGCGACCUCAAAAAGAAUGGCCAGAGGUGGUGGUGGUUGACCUUUCCUGGAAUCAUGGAAUGGCUAAGCAAGACUGACCAAUUUUCUGACUCAAUAUAAGGCAACUUCCUUUGUAAAUUAAUGAGACAUAUAUCAGAUGGGGUUGAGAUGGUGCAGUUGGUGCCCUUGUGCAAAUACAAGGAGUUUUGAAGAUCUGUUCCAGAGGUCCCCCAUCCCCCACAACCUUCCAGAACAUAUUUUUAGAGAGUUGCAGAGAGAGGGAGAGUUGGAAGAAAAAAUCACUUCCCCUCCUCUGUUGGCAGACACCUUCUGCUGGAGCAACAUCACUUGGAGGACUAAACUGGAUUCUGCCCAGAGUAUAUUCUCAGUGUAAAACUAUAUUCUUAGGCUAUGUAGAGAAAUAAAUGUAAACCAUACAUUGCGACAAAAAUAUUCCAAUGUAUCCUCAGCUGUUCAACAAGAGGAGUGCUCUUGCUUCGCCCAGUUCUAAAGAGAGGAACAUAUGGUGCAGCCAUACCUCACCCUGGGGUAUUGUAUAUGCUGUUGGUGACUCUAGCAUGUGAUUUCACACAGACUUGGUUUGUGUGUGUGUAUGUGUAACAGAGAAGGGAGAGGAAGAGAGGGAUGGGUAUGGUAGUUCAGUGCCAGACGACAUUUGGAAGUCCUGGGUUCAGUCUAAGAUAGCAGAGUUGCAAAAGAGGUUCUGCCUGAGACAUUGGAGAGCUGCUCCCCAUCAAAGCGGACCACACUUUACCUAGAUGGACCUGUUGUCUGAUUCAUGAAGUCCUUAGAACUUGACUGUAGGAACUUCGUGAGCCCUAGUAUCCCUAGUAGUUUAAUUUACUCAAACAAAACUGAGUUGAGGAGAAGGCUUCCAAUGAGGCCCAUGUUCUGGGUCCACAAUGACCAGUCAUGUUAUUUUGGCUUCAUAGGGAGAACCUUCCACAAGCACUUUCCCCCAUCACCAUUAACAGUAAAAAUUCAAUGCUAAUCAAUGAAUAACCACAAAAUAUUGGCCUCCCACUACCUAAUAGUUGGGCCAACUCUAACUCUCAAAGUUAGAAAGGUAGCCAGUGAGUGGUCUAUCUUGGUUUGUACAUUUAUUUCCUCAUUCUGAAAAACCUAUGGAAUUGAGAAAAUGCGUUAGUGGCAGGCAGAUUUUUGCCCAGUUCUGCAGAUAGGAACAUAUGGACAAGUUCUUCCAAAGUGAAUGGCUCCUGCAAUCCAUUAAUAGUGCUAUCAGAUGGGAUUUCUUGCUGCUUUAGUCCUGGGGACUAAGGGGAAGCAAAGGAGACUUCACUGAUCCCACCUCCGCGCUCCUGACUGAGAUCUUCCAAGUCCUGCUUUCUCCCUGCUCACUGCUAUUCCUUCAAAUGAGCAAAGGACUCAAGCUCAGGAGGCACAGCUUUGAGGCAAGGCAGCUCCCUUGCGAAAACCAGCUUCAGUAUUUACCGGCUCAUGGUACCAUGGCAACAGAAACCCCUCCAGAAAGUGACCACGGAGGAGGCUGGGAAAGGUUGCCAGGUACCCUUUGAAUGUCAGCAGAGCCAGGUCUUCUUCCUUAAAUAAAUGUAGAGCAAGGAGGUGAGGAAUCAUAGGAACAUAAAUCCAAAAGGAGGGUCUGCUCCCUAGGCAAAAAGGAGGGCUAAUUUAGAAAGUUCACUUUGUGCAGAGAUCUGUUCCCACAGAUUGUAAAUCCCAGGCCUGAGUGAUGAUCUGAAAAUCUAAGGAACACAUUAGGCCUCAUAUAAAUGCUGGAGUCAAUUUAAUGGGUGAGAAGGCCUAUUCUUUCCCCUGUUUUUCCAUUAAUUGCAAUGAUGCCUGUCUAAGGUAGAAAAUGGUGUAUCACAAAGACUCAGUGUAGGAAACAAUGUAAUCAAUAAGAAUAAUGCUAACAACAGGAAGAUAGUGUUUAUCUAGUGUGUUGCAAAUGUCCUAAAAGCUUCACACACAUUCUAUCAGUAAACCUUAGAGCAGUCCUAUAAGGCCUUUUCUGCACCAUAUACAUUUAAAGCAGUGUCAUACCACUUUAAACAAUCAUGGCUUCCAAACAAAGAAUUAUUUGAAGUGCAGUUUGUUGAGGGUGCUGGGAACCGUAGCUCUGUGACAGAUCACCUUACAACUUUGAGUAUGCCUAAUAAUCUACUGUUCCCAGGAGUCUUUGGGGGAAGCCAUGAGUGUUUAAAGUGGUAUUAUACAGCUUUAAAUGCACAGUGCAGACAGGGCCUAAGUCAGACCAAUAGUAUAUAUUGGGAAAGAGGUCCUGACUAGAACCCUGAAGCACUCCACGCUCCAACAUUUUGUUGCUGAUCCCACUUAUUGUUGUGUGUAUGAGGAAGAUAGAGUGUAUUGAGAGUCUCUUUCGGAAGCCCAAGUGACUUCUGCCUGUUAGGAGUUGCUUAGAAGAGAAAGCCAUGUUAGGAGAAAUCAGAAGCUGAGCCAUUAGGAAAGGUGAGAGUGCUGCCUCAGGUGACAGAAGCUCCCCAUGGCGGUCCACCUGCCCUACUGCCUCCACCAGCAGCAGAGAAGCAGCCCUGAUUUCGGGCAAGAUUGUAUCCAUUUGGGGCAUGAUGCUACGAAGUGCACAAGAUCUCACAUGACUCAAUCUUGCCUGAAAUCAGCACCAAUGGCAGUGCCUCUUCUGUGCCAGUGGCAGAUGUGGCAGGGCACAUGGUGACAGCAGAACAGGUGGCAGCAGCGGGAACAGGUAGGUGGUGGUGGGAGUAGUGGCAACAGUGGCAGGGAAGCACGUCCUUUUUCGCCUCAGGUGGCAAAGUGGGACACACCGCCUUGGGUCAGAAGACAAAGUCUGCAAUAGGAGUUAUGGAGGGAGUAGCAUGUUACCUAGGCAUCCAUGCCUAGAAUAUAAUUGCUGAGGCAGAGCCUGCCUGGCUGAGCUGCCAGAGUAGGCCACAAAGCUACACGACAGGGGCAUUCAUAGAAACCCCUCACAUGUUGACAACAGGGAAUAAGUUACACCUCCUGGCAAUGCUGUCACGGUCCGGUCUACGAGAGAUCGAAGUCCCGGCUGAGUUCGUUGGGACUGGGGGCAAGAUGGCGGGGUGGGAGCAGGAAUGAGAGUCAAGAAGACAGGGGUCCGAGGGUCGAGAAGCAAGGAGUCAAGAAGCUGAGAUCUGAGGCAGGAAACAUGUUGCUGUGGCAAAGAGCUGAAGGGAAAUGCUGACCUUAUAUCCCUUCCUGGCUCUUGCCACCAGGUGCAGUGAGUUACUAAGCGGCCUCACCUGUGCAGCCGCACUUUGCCUCUCCAGAACAAACUUAGGAAGGCCCCAGUCCUGUGAAGCCCUACUGGUCACAGGGCCUGGCUCCUGCACGCACUCCUGACAAAUGCGUUUCAUCAGAGUGUGAUGCAGCUCUGAGUGCAGAGUGGCCCUACAUGAGGAAUGAUCCUGAAUCAAUCAGCCUCCUCCUUCACACCCAGCCACUCUACGCACAUAGGUCUGCUUCACAUGCUAGUUCAGGGAUGGGGAACGGCAACUCCUGUCAGUCCCAGCAAACAUGGUCAUUGGCCAGGGGCACUGGGAGUUUUAAUCCAGCAACAUCUAGAGAGCAGGGUUUCCCAAACUUGGGUCUCCAGCAGUUUUGGGACUACAAUUCCCAUCAUCCCUGACUAAUGGCCCUCCUAGCUAGGGAUUAUGGGAGUUGUAGUCCAAAAACUGCUGGAAGCCCAAGUUUGGGAAACCCUGAUCUAGAGUGUCAAAGGUUCCCCACACCUGUGCUGGCUGAACGUAUGGCAGACGGUGAUGAUGACCUCACCCCCCACACCAUCAGUUCACAGAAGGUAUUCAUAUGAACAUUCCUAUAGCAGUUUUCAUAUUAUACACAUGGAAUAUUGAGGGUGAGAGUGGCUUGCCUAAUGCUACCUAGCAAAUUCAUGGACGAGAUGAGAUUUGAACAGGGGACUACCAGGUACAUUCUCUAAGUCAGUGAUGGAGAACCUGUGGCCUCUAGCUCUAGCUGUCAUUGAACUCCAGCUGCCAUCAGCUGCAGCCAGCAUGGCCAAUGGUCAGGAGUCAUGGGGGGCAGUGGUAGUUCAGCAUUACCUGGAGGUGUUGUGUGAAGGACCACACUGGUGUGCAUCACAGCAGUCUCUCAGUUUGAUGCCUUAAUAAUGGCAGCCCGGCAAUGAAUUUGGCAGGUGUCUCCACUUCACAGGCGUGUGUGUAAACUGCAGAAGUUGUUUGCUCUGUCAGUUUUCACAUAGCCAGACUUAUCUCUGAAUGCUUUGGCAAAUGACCAACUGUGAUUUGUUUGUAUUUUCUUAGAUGCUUUCCUCCUCUCUGGAGUCAUAAGGAAAGAUCAUCAGCUUGUUCAUCUGUAGUGCGAGAUCAUUAACUCUAGGAGGAAACAAAUGAUUCUGCUCUUUAGGCAGAAUGCUUUUUUGGACAAAAAAAGAGGCAGUUUGUGACAAUCUGUUGGCUUCAAAAACAGGGAAGAAAUGGCUGUGUUCACUGCUGGUAGCAUACUAAUAGUUUUUGAAUGGGUCGUUUGGGGUCUAGGUAGCUCAAUUCAAACAAUCAUGUUAUGUGAUGUGUCAAUUCUACCCAGAAAGGCCUUUUAAACUAUAACUUUCCCAGGGAUGCUCAAAGGCCGGAGACAUGACAUUUGCAGAAACUUUCUCCUAUUUCCAUUUUAUACAGGCCUUUAAAUGAUUGGCACCUUUGUGGUGAGGAGAGCCAGAGGCAAAAUUGAUAUUGGCGGGCAACAUCACGAUGUACCCUUUUCACCUUCAAGGUGAUGCUCCCAGUAUAGAGAUAAAGCACCUGAGUGGAAAGAUACAUUAUGAUUUAUAUUACGGCGAUGCCCAGAGGCCUCGGGUGAAAACAGGGCUCCAAUCACAAUCCAUAAAGAUAUAGAAGUGUAAAUGUGUCAGCUCUGGAGGGCUUCUGCCAUUAAUAGACACGGAAAAUCGAGAAGCCAAAUGAUGGGAUCGGAACCAAAGGGGCAGAAGGUGGAGACAGCGUCUCAACGGAAGAGAGAAAUACAGUGUCAAUGCCAAAAUGUAGACAGCUGCUAAAUACGAGCCAGAGAAGGAGCCAAAUCUUGGAAACCAGGGCUUUUUGUGAUGGUACUCAGUGGUACAGAGUACUGGCAGCUCCCCCCCCCCACACACAUUGCCAUCCAUGACAUUUUUAUAUGCGAAGCAGCACCUUAGUUUUUGUCAAAAAGAGCACCUUUGGAAAUCAGAGCCUGCAAGGAAUAUGGAUGCCCAUGCAAACUUUCAGUUGUUUUUACAGUUUACAGUUAUUCCUGUGGAGGGAAGAAACCAAAGGGAUCCUAAUAAUAAUAAUAAUAAUAAUAAUAAUAAUAAUAAUAAUAAUAAAUAAUUUAUUAUUUAUACUCCGCCCAUCUGGCUGGGCUUCCCCAGCUACUCUGGGCGGCUUCCAACAAAAUAUUAAAAUACAGUAAUGCAUCAAACAUUAAAGGCUUCCCUAAACAGGGCUGCCUUCAGAUGUCUUCUAAAAGUCUGGUAGUUGUUGUUCUCUUUGACAGCUGGUGGGAGGGCGUUCCACAGGGCGGGUGCCACUACCAAGAAGGCCCUCUGCCUGGUUCCCUGUAACUUGGCUUCUCGCAGUGAGGGAACCGCCAGAAGGCCCUCGGUGCUGGACCUCAGUGUCCGGGUAGAACAAUGGGGGUGGAGAUGCUCCUUCAGGUAUACUGGGCUGAGGCAGUUUAGGGCUUUAAAGGUCAGCACCAACACUUUGAAUUGUGCUUGGAAAUGUACUGGGAGCCAAUGUAGGUCUUUCAAGACCUACUUUCACUGUUUCUGUUUCUGAACAGGAUAUAACAAGUCAUGUGGGUAGUUUCUCUGUUGGUAGCCCUUGAUAUAAAUUCAUGUGUGAACAGUCAGAACAUGGAUUAUUGUUGACCCCAUGGGUGAAAAAUUAGAAUCAUAGAAUCAUAGAGUUGGAAGAGACCACAAGGGCCAUUGAGUCCAACCCCCUGCCAAGCAGGAAACACCAUCAGAGCACUCCUGACAUAUGGUUGUCAAGCCUCUGCUUAAAGACCUCCAAAGAAGGAGACUCCACCACACUCCUUGGCAGCAAAUUCCACUGGGGAGUCCCAAAUAAGUAGCGAUGACCUUUCCAAAGGACGGAGGAGAUGCAUUAGAAAAACAACAACCCUGAGUUGUCUAUUCAUUAGCCCAGGGAUUUUUCCAGGGGAACUCACAGAAACUGAGUUCCAGCACCUCCCUGGUGUGUGCCAUUGCCACUCUAAGAGAAUGAGGGAGGUGUUUAUGGUGAGUUCUGGCACCUGUCUUUCUAGGGAAAUGGCACUGCGUUCACUCUUUAAAUGGUGCAACUUCAGCGAACCAAGUACAUGACCUGUGUGCAAAUCUGUAUACAUCUGUGAACUUGCUGAAGGGAGAACAGUUCUGCUGAACCAUUGCUACUCACGAAGAACAUUCAUAUUCACAAGGAAAAGUGCUUUUAAUUUAAUCACUAAUUAACUAGUAAUGAUCCCAUUGAAAAUUAGAAGUAAUUAUAUGCUAAAUUUCCCGCGAACGCUCUGUUUACCGUUUAGAAUUAGCCUUAGUUAAUUUUGAGCUUUCCCCCCUCAAAAACCCGCUCCCCCUACCCUUAUUUGUAUGAGGUAGGUUUAGUCACGGCUGCAUAACUGAGAUAGUUUUCAGUCUGGUCUAAUGGUGAAUAAGCAUCCUUUAGCAAAGUUCAGAAGGAUCUUGGCUAAUAUGGGAAAAUAGUUCAUAUCCUCCCCCAGCCCAUUCUGAAAUGUAUACCCUAUUAUAUUCCCACUAAUGCCAUCAGAAGUGUGACAGGAUCUCCAACCCCUCUCUUCACGAGUGAUAUUCCUAGAUUCAGGGUGGUUAUGUGUAUGGCUGCAGAAAGCAGUUCGGGUGAAUAUUGGCUGUCUAGAACCUUGAGUUCACUGAAGGACUGUCAUAUAGCCUUGAUGACUCACAAACCCAGACAUGGGUCCUGCCCAACAGAAGUUAUGGGUGGCCCAGAAGUUAUGGUGGCAGCCUUGGUGGUGUGUUUAGGUGCUCAAAUCCCCAUGAGCAUUGUGUGUGGGGAAUGAAACACUUAACUUCAAAGCCUGCCAUAAGUGUUCAUGAUGUGAACCUUUUCACAAAACCAGGCUAUCUAUGUUUAUUUAAAUAGAGUCAAUCCAAAUUUGAACUAAGCUCCCUCCCCUGUGUGUGCACCCACACAGGCUAUGAGGAUCAGGUUCAGGAAGUUUCCUGAAGUCACAAAGUACAGGGGCCAAUAAUCUAGCGCAGAGUUAAUUGUGCUAGCCUGCUAAAAGCUCUGCUCACUUGACACUGUGCUCUGCUGGUGAAUACGGAAGGAAACGAAAACUAGAGGGCAGGAGUAUUAUUUAGGCAUUUAAUAUAGCAUUAUUUUUUUUUGGUCCAAGCAAUCCAGUAUAUCUUGUCUGUGAGGGAAAAAAGACCUCUGAAGAAGACAGAUAAAGCUUCUGUGCUUUCCUGUCAGUUUCUCCACUGCAAGUAACAAAAUGAUUCCUUUUAAACGUGUUCCAGUAGAUUUAUUCAGCACAAAGCAAAAUAACUUUUGAAAGGGAUUCUGAUAUUUGAGGUUCUUUUCUUUAAAGACUGCACUGCUUUCUGGGGUUGUUUCCCCCUCCCCCCAUUUCCUUCCUUCAGCCCAACAGAUAUAAAUUCCCUUUACUUAUUAAAACGCCUACAAUGGUUUUUUUGUUUGUAACACCGUUGCUAACUUGACGUUGGCGUAGUUUAUGCUAAAUGCAGCAUGGAUUUAGAAAUGGGGGGAGGGGAAGCCCUCAGAAAUGAAAUUCAGAGCAAAUGAAAGAAGGUGCUGUCUGAAUAGCUUGAAGGAAACCAAUAUUCAUAUGUCUGAUGUGUGCAGCAUGUAUCGGAGAGGAGAGAAGUCUGUGGGUUUUGUUUUUGUUUUGGUACUAAUUGCUCACAUAAUUAUAGAUUCUUUACUAUUUCUGGGAUUACAUUAGCUUGAGACCAAUAUAAAUAACCAAGUUAUUAUUGUUAUUGUGCUGUACACUUAUUAGCCGUUUCUGUGCAGGAACGUGCAAGAGUAAAACCCAUAUACAAGUACAAUCAAUAAGUACAGCGCAAUUAAGAUAAAAUAGAAUUCCCGAACGAACUAAAAUGGCAACAACAUAAUUGAAAUUCUACACAUAAGAUGGAUAGUCAAUAACAGCUAGUCAGGGGGAGAUUUUUUUGAAAUAAAAAUGCCUUCAUCUGCUGGCAGGAAAGUUGCCUAGUGAAUCUUCCUCUGCAGGGGCCCCCUAAAUACCAGAAGCCGGCAUUGGGAAAAGCUUCCUCCCUGACAAAUGUUGCAAACAGAACUGCAAGUUUCAUUUUUGUAAGCUCUUAGAACUCCAUUGCCAGCCACAAGUGGUCCCAUUCUGUACAUGGCUAUUCCUAGUGCUAUUUUUCUACAAAAAGAGGUGCCGGAGCUCAUGAUGAACUUCUCUCUUGUUCUCUUAGAAUGGCAAUGGCACAAACCUGGGACAUGCCAGAACUGAGUUUCGAUGAGUUUCAGCUGAAAAAAGCAUUGGAUACAACCAUUUGGCUGCCAUAUUCAUUUGCGUGCAUAUGAGUGGGUGGGUGGGGAUUAUUCAAGCCAAGCUGAGCUCCUGCACUUGCCCUGGGGGCUACAUUGUGUCCAUACAUCAAACCUACAGCUACCCUCCAAAUAUUCACACUGCGGGAAGAAAACUAAUCUGUUCAUACAGGUUGGAGGGAAUGAUACAUUUUGCUUUGUUUUCAGAAACCACCCUGUGAAAUAUAAUGAAAGUUUUUGUGUGGAGGGGUGUGUGUGUCAGAGAUCUCACUUUGACAGAUAGCUACUUAAGACACAUGACAUUUGUCCUGCAUUUAACAUGUGGCACAAGAUUGCACCAAUCUUUAAACUUGUGCCACAAUAAACAUUUGCAAACCCCUUGUACAGCACACAGUGGUACCUCAGGUUACAGACACUUUGGGUUACAGACGCUUCAGGUUACAAACUCCGCUAACCAGGAAGUAGUUGCUCCAGGUUCAGAACUUUGCCCCAGGAUAAGAACGGAAAUUGUGCGCCAGCGGCACAGUGGCAGCGGGAGGCCCCAUUAGCGAAAGCACGCCUCAGGUUAAGAACCGCUUCAGGUUAAGAACGGACCUCUGGAACGAAUUAAGUUCUUAACCUGAGGUACCACUGUAUAUGAUUUUUCACACGAAAAUAUCUUCAUGACUGAAAGUUUCAGAGGGCAGCAUUUUUUGUCUCUUUCGGCAUAUAACAACCAAGAGUCAUCCGGCAUCUUAAAGACUAGCCAAUAUAUAAUAGCAGGAGCUAUCAUCGGCCAGAGCCUACUUCGCCAGAUGAAUGUGGGUCAUCUAGUUUCUGCAAGAAACUCGGAAAACGAUAGUCUCCUUUUCCUAUUAUUUAUGGAGUACAAUGAAUUGUGCCACUCUCUUCAUAUAAUACAUUCGUUCCCCGUGUGUGUGUGUGUGAGAGAGAGCGAUAUAGUUAUGGUGCCCUUUAGGGGAUGAACUAGAGAGGCCCAUCUACAAAUAAUUGAAGUACCGUAUUUUUCGCUCUAUAACACGCACCAGACCAUAACACGCACGUAGUUUUUAGAGGAAGAAAACAAGAAAAAAAAUAUUCUAAACGAAAUAGUGGAUAUAUGAUUUUUGUGGUUCAUGCUGUGGCCACAGACAUGUGAUCUGACAGUGAGUUUGGAGUAGCCCAAUGCAAAAAUCCUGAGGAUCCAUGUGGAUCCAUGCUUUGUAACCAUGGAGGAGGGAAGGAAGGGGAACCAUGGAUCCUCUGCUCACGACUGCAGCAGAUCCCCCCUGCCACCCGCAGGCAUUCGCUCCAUAACACGCACAGACAUUUCCCCUUACUUUCUAGGAGGAAAAAAGUGAGUGUUAUGGUGCAAAAAAUACGGUACUUUUCUUUUAGCUCUGCUGGGAGGCACCCCAGAGAUACAACUUCAACUGCACAAAGCACUGAUUUAUAUAGCUGUUGUGCCUCCUGAAAGGGUUUUGUUUAGAUUUUUUAAAAAAACCUGAGAUGUUGUUGCUCUGGUUAAGUACUACGUUCCUAUCUUAUAUUAGUGAGCCAAUUACCACUUGGAAUGAUGCUAGACUUUCUUCAUUUGGAAUAUGUCACUGUGCUGAUUUCUAAUUGUACGUUCUAGAAUUCUGAAGCUGCUUGUUUCGUAUUGCCUAGGCGUAGACUAUCGGAAGGAAAUUAGUAAGAAUAAUAAUGAAAUCCAUGGCUUGACCCAAUGUUUUGGCAUUAUCUGUUAACAGGUAUUCUUAUAAGCUGCUGCAUUUGCAAAGGGAAUAUGUAUGGUUCUUCCCACACACACCCCUGCCCCAGUAAUAGAAUAAUAAGCACCAAAUCUAACCACUCUCUAAGAAUUAAGUUGUCUCAAUUACCUCCAUUAGUCAAAGCCUACAUAUAUUUCUCAGCUGAACUCACGCUAUGCUUGAUAAAAAAAAAUGACUCUCCACCCACACCCCUGACAUACUGAAUAAGAUGGCUUUUAGGUGCACUAAAAUGUCUGCUUAGAUAUAUAUCUGGCUGCUUAAAUCACAUCUACAGGACUGCAGGGCUACUGAGUGCUUAAAUCACAUCCACAGUAUACUUAUUUUUUUCGUGACCUGAUGCCAUUUCCCUUGAGUUAGUCACCCUCAGUAAUGAACAGCCACCAACGUGGCCCCCCAGGGAAUGGGGAGGGGAAUCCUCCAACAGGCUUUCUGUACUGAUCACAAUCUAAGAAAAGCUUACUGGGAAGAACAGCAUUCUCUUUCUCUCCCCACCCCCAAUUCUCUUCUCUUUCAAGGCAUUUAUAAACCCUAACUCAUUCAGGGUUUCUUGACUUUCUGUGACCCCAGGUAAGUGACACAGACUUCAGCCUGAGUACCCAAACCUGUUUUUUCCCCCUCUGAACUGGCAUGUCCCAGGGAGGGGGAAUUACGGUAAAUAGAAUCUCAAACAUGUACAAAUAUACCUGGGCAGCAAUAGUGCAAUUAUCUCCUUUCAUUUUCCACCAGUAAAUUCUGAAAAUGUCAUUUAAGACUAAUUUUUUAGCAUUGAUGGAUUGCUCUCUGAGUUUUAACACAAUUAGGAGGGGAAGUUUCCCCUGUAAUUAUACAAACUGUAUGCCAUAUAAUUGUAAUCACCUUGUAGUUACAGGCGUAUUCAUCUUGCUUUUAAAGAUCAUUGUUUGGACUUAUUUGUUGAGUUGCUGCACAGCGAGCCAUAUUUGUGUGCUAGAAUAACACCAAAUAUGAUUUUGGCAUGUGAAAUUUCAGCAUGUGAAUUUGCAGCAUGUCAGGAGUUAGAGGAGCUCACAGGACCUGCUGCCCAAGCAAAUAAGUGUUUAGAGACAGAUUGUUACACAGACCAGGUCCAAAUGGCGCAGUGCGUGUGCCUAAAUUGCUGCAGUACAUGUACAACACAUUUCUAACUUUUGCUUUCAGCUGCAGUGCUUGAUGAUGUAUGCUGGUGGAUCCUGAAUGGCUUAGUGGGAGGUGGAGCCUCCAAGGGCUUUGUGAUACCAGUCGCAGUCCCACCCUCCCCCAUGCAGUGAGUACUGUGAUGUGUGACAUAAUGAACCCAACAGACAAUGAUCUGGGUCAAAAAUGGCCACAACUUUAUUGAUUAGAGGUAUAGGUGGAAUUUUGGGUCAGGGAUUGGGUGUAUAUUCAUUCUUGCCUGCCGCAGAGGCAACAUCUCUGGACAGGAUCCGUGUGCUCCUAUUCGUCGGGUUUUGUUGCUGCCUUCGGUGCUGUCGGCGCAUGGCGGAUCCCACCACAACAUUACAAAGCACUCCGGAUGCGGCGCCAAAAGAGUUAGCUGCCGUGCAGCUGGGGUAAGAGCCAACAGCUGAGCGGAGCGAGCCUGUCGGAGCACCGUGGGCUCUUCUGCUUCUGUGGCUCGGUGCGAGUUUGGGGGCAAGCGUUGGAGUCCGGGGAAGAGCCACCUGCAGCAGAAGAGCCUGUGGCGCUCUGACAGGCUCGGCUCCACUCGACUGUUGGCAGCUCUUCCCCGGACUCCAACACUCAGCCCCGGACUCUCGGCCUGGGCUGACCUUAAGGCAAUUGGAACAAUUGGGCCAAAUUGGGCCCUGCGGGCCGCUCCUAAAGAGGCCUCCACACCAGUGCAAUCUAGAUGGAUUUUAUUUAUAUCAGUGAGAUUUUGCAGACUUUUGGUUGUGAACUGCGGCCUUACAAAAACACACACAAAAAAAACCCUAAAGUUGGGCCCCACUUCUUCAAUUUGGGCCCCCACUGGCUAGCCCUGAGUCUCAUAGUUGCUGGGCCUGAGUUUCCCUGCCCUUGCAUGAAGUAUUGGGUUUGCAAUUUUGGGAGAGGGGAGGGGGGAGGUUGCCUGCUGGGGAGCGGGCAGGCUGGCGAGGCCCCCUAGAUUUAGAAGCUCUAGGAUUCAGCCUACUUAGCCUAUACAUAAAUCUGGCACUGGCUAUAUCCUAUACAGGAGCAGGGCCGUGUUAUCCGUUGGCACUAGGGGUGCACGGCACCAGGGCGCUGGGCUCUCAGGGACACCAGGCCGAGAGUCCAGGGCCGAGCAUUGGAGUCCGGGGAAGAGCCGCCGACAGUCGAGCGGAGCAGAGCCUGUCAGAGCGCCACAGGCUCUUCUGCUGCAGGCGGCUCUUCCCCGGACUCCAACGCUCACCCCAGAACUCACACCGAGCCACAGCAACAGAAGAGCCCGCGGCGCUCACGCUCGGCUCGGCUCGGCUAUUGGCUCUUGCCCCAGCUGCAUGGCAGCUAACUGUUUUGGCGCCACACCCGGAGUGCCGUGUAACAUUGUGGUGGGAUCCUCCACGUGCCAGAGGGCUGGAACUGCUUCAGGGUUCGAGGGAGAGGGAAUGUUCUUUCAUAUGUGGUGGAUUUCAAAGCUCCCAAAGCACAAAGUGCUUUUUUAAAGUUUAAAAACAAAAGAAGGAUUACAGGAGUUGACAUUAGGAACUUCGAAGCCCUUCAGCUCUAGUCAGAAGGGCCAAUGGUCAGGAAUGCUGUUGAUUUACUUUAUUUUAUAGCUCAAUUCCAAUGAAGCAGCUUACAGCAAUUCCACAAGACAAUAAAAACAAAUUAUAAAAAUAAUCGUUAUGUAUAACAAAUAUUUUAAAAACAAUUUCAAAUCCCAUGCCUGACUCUGAGUGGUAUUAUGGGCAUUGUAGUCCAGCUAAAUCUGGAGGGAACCACAUUGGACGCCCUGCUCUAGAUAAAUGACCGUUACCAAGUUUAUACAACCUGUGUUUCUGUGCUGAGUGCAAAGGAAGAUAUUGUUCUGCAGUUUUAGACUCAAGAGAUGAACAAGCUGUGGCGGUGACUGCAAGCCAUAAAGCUUUGAGGAAUGUCUACUCUGUAGUCUUAUAAAACAAAUUGGUGAUUUCGAUCUAAACAGGCAGGUGCCCUGACCUCAAAAGGCAAGUAACGAAGAAACCAGCCCAAACAACUGACAUUCUUCUGGGAUGUUUAUGGGCAAGAGGCCAUUAUUAAUGCAGUAACCCCUUCAGGACUGUUGAGACUGUGUCACACUGGGGGAGCUCUUACAGUCCUUCUUUUGUCUGUAUUUGGUGUUGGGAUAAUUGCCCAUAUCCAGCUUUUUGGCAUGUCACCUUCUGAGCAGCCAUAAACAGUAUAACAGAAGCAAGAGCUCCAGAAGUCAGAUAAAAGAAAAAUAGGCAGCAAGCUUUGUUGAGGCUGCUAAAAUCUAUAAAUGGUAAGUGGGACUGUAAUCACUACGGAAAUUAUAAAAGGCUGAAGGAAAUAAAGCCCAAAUGUGAGGAUAAAACCAUAAAUGGAAGUGAAACUCAAGCACCAACCUUCAGAAAGUGACAAAAGUAAUUUUCUUGCUUUCUUUCCAUUUAAUGGAAGAAAUGUAAUCAGCAAGGGGGGAGGGGGCAGAAAUGUGGAUAGGGAAAUCGCUAAUGGAAUGAGAAGGAAACGUUAAGGUUAUGUAGAAUAGUAAAACCUAAUAAUACUUCAAAAAUAUUUUUAUUUUAUUUUAAAGGGUUUGUGUUGGUUUUGAGCUGACCCAAAUGUACAUAUUGGAUUAAACACUGGGCAGUUAUAAUGUUCCAGUUCAGGCAUCUCAGAGGGCAAUAGCAGAAAACCCCAGUCCCUCUCUUUUUAAAUGGCCAAGGCUCCUAUAGAGAUCCAUCUAAUAAAAAGCAGCCCUAUGUGCUAUUAGAGCAAUAUUGGAAGGUGCCCCAGCUGAUUAAAGAGCUCUAUUGCUACCGCUCAUCAGAAGCCACCAGUGUCAAGCAAAACCCAAGAAGGGUCUUGGUGUGAACAGCUUUUCCUCUUAGGAAGACCCCAUCUGGAAACUAGUGAACAUUAUGCUCUGGAGAUCACUUGUGGGUUAAAGCAAUACUAAACCAUUCUCUGUACCAACUUGGGUGGUUUGAGGACCACAUUUACCAUUGGCCAACCCUCCAGGAUAGCAUGGGAUAGACUUGUAGGACUGGUUCAUAUACUCAUAUAGGUGCUUUCCCCUCCAACAAUACAUCAUGCAUAUACCAUUUUAUUUGUAUGCUGCUUUUCCAUACGUAAAACCAUGUUCAAGGCGGCUUACAUGAAAAAGAUUACAUAACUACAAAAGCAGCCAUAAAAGAUAAGCAAAAGAUUACAUAACUGCCAAAGAUUACAUAACUGCAUAAAAAGAAAAAGAUUACAUAACUGCAAAAGCAGCCAUAAAAAAUAAACAAAACAUUGAAAAGUUGUGGCACCCACUCUGUGGCACGCCCUCCCAUCAGAUGUCAAGGAAAUAAAGAACUAUCUGACUUUUAGAAGACAUCUGAAGGCCACCCUGUUUGGCGAAGUUUUUAAUGUUUGAUGUUUUAUCGUGUUAAUAUUCUGUUGGGAGCUGCCCAGAGUGGCUGGGGAAACCCAGCCAGAUGGGCAGGGUAUAAAUAAUAAAUUUAUUAUUAUUAUUAUUAUUAUUAUUAUUAUUAUUAUUAUUACACAACCAAAUUAAACAAUUUCCACAUAACUCAAGACAUCUAAAAUCAAGAUAAAAAAAUAAUAUCAGUAACCUUCCCCUGCACAACAACAAACCCUAAAUGUACCAAUAAUAAUAAUAAUAAUAAUAAUAAUAAUAAUACUGUAACCCCCAAUGGACAUAUAGUAACAUUUGACAUAAUUUCUGGUGUGUUCAGUUAUAUGAUAACACAUCCAAUUUGUAUGACCUCCUACUCUCUCUAUUUUUUAAAAAAGAAAUAUUUAUAAAAUCUAUAUAGCAUUUGAUUGCAGGAAACUUCACUGUGGUUUACAAAACAUAUAAAACAAUAGAAAUGAACUGAAAACACCCCUCCCCCCAUUCUAAAUAUGGGUGUACAUACAGCCAUAGUCUUUGUUCCACAUGACAUCAUUUGUACGUUGUAGAACAGGAUGCAUGUUGGCAAGUCUAUAAAACUGAGCUAUAGACUUCCAAUAUCUCCGUCCAGACAUUUCUCAAGAACAUCUGAACAUUUUUGUAAAGCGUGUUCUCUUUAAAGGAGAGCACGUGUCGCGGAUGGGGCCAGGCAAAGCACCCCGUAGCUGCCAGGCAGGAUGGAUUGAAGGGGCCUUGCUGGAUUGGUGGUUGGUGUUGCUGGGGUAAAUUUGAUGUUGCCAAUUUGGGGGUGGGAACAGAGGUUAUUUAAACAGGGUGCACAGCGAGCUGCUUUCUCUUUCGCUGUGGGCACCGGAUCAGCACCGGAGCGAUUUCAGCUGGAGAUUGGUUGUAUACUCUUUUCCCCUUUCUUCCUUUCCCUCCCUCCAUUCUUUUUCUAUUAUUCCUUCUUUAAUUCAUCCUUGCCUUCUAUCAACCUCUUUUAUUGGUCCUGGUUUAAUUUUUACCCGGCCGCCCUUUGGCGGAAGGGGCUCCUGGACCCGGGUGGCUUACGGCCCGAUUCUUGGCUGAGCUUAAAGGCCCGGGCCGGGGGAUUUUGCCUAGCCUGCCUAGGGACAUCGGCGGCAGCUGACGCUCUACCCUGCUUGGUUGAGCGUCUCGGGGGGCCGCUGGCGUGGUGCUGAAGGCCGCGCCGUGUCGGGGAUCGCAAAGGGCACCUCAGGAAAGAGCUGGUCGGGGCUCGCCCGCCCUCCAUUCUGCGGGCUGCGGGCGCCGGGGGAUCGCCCCACGGCCUGGCUUGGCCCUGCUUGGCCCUUUCCCCCCUCUCUGCCCCUUCCCCCCCACGCUUGUCCCGAGCCGCCAGAGGCGGCCGGGGAGGCCGUCGGUGUUGCGGGGUGACUUACCGUGCUCCGUGGUGGGCCUCUCAGGCCGUCCUCUUCAUCGCCGCCGCUAGUGGUGGGUGCUGGCUCGCGCCAGCGCGCGGUGCCUCCGAGUUUUAAUUUACAGGCCGGAGGCGCUGCGUGAGUGUGUUAGCGCAGCCGAUUUGCGCGGUGCCAUUUUCGGCGCUAUAUAUUGCCUUGUGAGCCCCCCUAUCCACCUCCGGGGCUUCGGAGGGCAUUGGGUCCUCGGGUGCUCAGAGACCCCUCCAUUUUGAGGCGUUUUGGCGGGAGCGCCAUUUUGCCUCUUGAGGCAGAAAAGAGGCCGCACCUAGGGGUCGGGGUCGCGCCAGGGGAUGUGGCCAGGAGAAGGGCUUCAACCUGGGGCCAGGCUGCGCGGGGUUCUCCUGCGCAGUCUUCAGUAGCUGUGAGUUUGGUUCCGGAUCAUUCACAGGUUGUCUCCUUUCAGUCAGUUCCAGGCGCUGUGCAGCAAGGCGAUAUGUCUGAGUCUUCGGUUGAGGACAGCCUUCCUCCACCUCCAAAGACCUCUUCUGGUGGGCACCGCCGCCACAAAAAGAGCUCCAGGAGGCGCGCCAAGCGGAGACGUAGGGACACCUCGUCCUUCUCAGGUACUUCUUCCCAGAGUUCCAGUAGUGAUGAGGAAGCUUCUCUUAAGCUUUAUUGGGGCUUUGGGGAGACCUCAGGGAUCCCAAAGUGGGUUUGGGAGCGGAGGGCAAAUUCUCACAGGGCCAAGUAUGGGGCGGUGCAAGAGUGUCGGGAUGGGGUCCUGGUGCCUGACGUAAAAGUCUCCACCAAUUCGGCUAGAGAUCUUAUACCUGGUGCCCACUUGUCUGCCAAUUUGAGGUCCAGGAUUUUGAAUGGCCGUUACAUUGAUAUCUUUAGCCUGGCCCCUCCACUUGACGGUCAGGAGCCCCAAGAAAAGGGCUUUGCUGCCUCUAAAAAACGGGUGGGCAUAGCUAAAGCAGACAGGACAUUUGAACGCUGGUUGGAUAGCUUCCAGGUUUUUGCUGGAGUGGUUUCUGCAGCCUAUCCUAGGAGAUCUCUGCACUUGUGGGUGUAUUUGUCUAUAGUCCGUGCGGCCCUCACGAUGGCCGGAGAAGCUGCUGCGAUAUCUUAUGAUGAGAAUUUUAGACGCAGGGCUGCCAAGAUUCCUACGGCCCGCUGGGAUCGGAAGGACUUGGAUGUGUGGACCACGUAUGUGGCUCCACGCAUUGACAAAAAGGCUCCAGAACCACAGAAACCUAAGGCUGUCCCAGCAAAGGUGGGUCGCAAGCUGUUUUGCUGGGACUUCAACAAGGGUUCCUUCCUGCGGCAACCCUGCAGAUACUCACAUGUGUGUGAGAAGUGUUCAGGGAACCAUCCGGCAUCCGCUUGUGCGGGGGGCCGGCGGCCCUUUUGGAAAGGGGGGGCUCUCAGCAGCCCUCAAAAGCCGCUCCCCAGGCCCCAGCUGCGGGAGCAGGAAAGUAGUAUCCUGUCCUCCUUAGCCUAUACCCCAGUACGGCUACAGCCGUUACUUUUUUUGUUGCAGUCAUACCCUGACCGGGACUUGGCGUCUUAUUUGCGUGAUGGCUUUUCUUUAGGCUUCAGAAUUCCGGUGGUCUCAACCCCGGUAGCCAGGAACCCUGCGAACCAGAAGUCCAUUAAGGACAUGCCAGAGGUGGCACGUAAGAUAAUCGGGAAAGAACUGGCCUUACGUCGUAUGGCCAGCCCUUUUGCUGUUCCUCCCUUUCCCAAUUUGCAUAUUUCACCCUUAGGCAUAGUGCCUAAAAAAGCCCCGGGGGAAUUCCACCUGAUUCAUAAUCUUUCUCACCCUAGAGGCACAUCAGUAAAUGAUGUUAUUCCCCCAGAGCUUUGCUCGGUGAAGUAUGCUUCUCUUGAUCAAGCGAUCAAGAUGAUACGGAAAUUUGGGACAGGUGCCCUACUGGCCAAAUGCGACAUUGAAUCUGCAUUUCAGCUGCUUCCAAUUCACCCCGAUGACUUUUGGUUGCUGGGUUUUCAGUUUGAAGGGGGAUUUUACUUUGAUAAGGCCAUGCCUAUGGGCUGCUCGGUAGCCUGUGCGGCCUUUGAGUGUUUUAGUUCAUUUUUGGAUUGGGCCUUGCGCAAAAGAACUGGUUUGGGCGGAAUUACGCAUUAUUUGGAUGAUUUUUUAUUGGCCUUGGCUAGCGAUACAGGGAACUGCGUUGUGUUAUUGCAGGCCUUUGCUUCCUUAACAGAAGAACUGGGGGUGCCGUUGGCGGCGGAGAAGACUGAGGGUCCUUCUACGCAGCUGACUUACUUGGGUAUCUUGUUGGAUACCGUGGCCCAAACUUCCAGCUUGCCGGCGGAUAAGAUAAUCACGUUAAAAGGGGUCAUUGAGGAACUGCUUCCCUUGAAGAAGGUUACCUUGCGACAGCUGCAGUCGUUGCUAGGUCACCUGAAUUUUGCUUGCAGGGUGGCCGCCCCGGGGCGACCAUUCUGCUCCCGCUUGGCCAGACUUAUGUCAGGCUUGAGGGCCCCUCAGCAUAGGGUGCGCCUUUCUUGUCAGGUGCGGGCUGACCUUCGUAUUUGGUUGGAAUUCCUGGAGGAAUUCAACGGGGUGUCUCUGUGGCAGGACACUUUGAACCUCCACAAUGAUUUUCAGGUGCACUCCGAUGCUGCAGGGUCUUUGGGGUUUGGCCUGUUUUGGGACGGUAGGUGGUGUGCGGAGCGCUGGCCUCCAGCUUGGUGUGGGGAAGCUAUAACUCGGGACCUAACUUUUCUUGAGUUUUUUUCCAUUGUAGUGGCCGUGCAUUUGUGGGUCGAGCAUUUCAGGGACCGUCUAGUUUGUUUUUGGUCCGAUAACCAGGCGGUGGUGAACGUGCUAGCCAAGCAGUCUUCACGAUCCCCUAGGGUAUCAGCCCUGUUACGGGCGUUUGUUUUACACUGCUUGCGUUUUAACAUUGUAUUUUCUGCUCGUUUUGUUCCUGGCAUAUCUAACGAGAUCGCUGAUGCUCUGUCCUGUUUUCAGAUGGAGCGUUUCAGGUCCCUGGCGCCAGUGGCUCGAGACCGUCCGGAAUUUUUCCCGGAUCAUCUCUGGAACCUUGGCAGCACUUAGUUUUACAGGGAGUAGCUGCAUCUAUUGCCCCCUCCACGCUUAGGUCUUAUAAAAAGGCCUGGACUGACUUUUUACUAUUUAAUGGGCAGCCAGUCGUAGGGGAAGUUAGUUCCCCCCAUUCUACCACUCAGGUGCUCCAGUAUUUGGCGCAUCUAUUUCAGAUGCAUCGGGCGGCCAGGACGCUGAGAAUUCAUUCAGCGGCAAUUUCUUUCUUUAGCAGGGCAUUUUUUAACAAGGAUCCAUGUGGGAAGUUUGUUGUGCGGAAGGCACUUGAGGGCUGGGGGCGUCUUUGUCCUUCCAGGCCAAUUUCCAAGCGUCCCAUCACAUUUGAUUUGCUGACAAAGAUGCGCUGUAAAUUGAGGAGCAUCUGUUGGUCCAGGUUUGAGGCUCGGCUAUUUUCCGCAGCCUUUUCAUUAGCCUUUUUUGGAGCCCUGAGAGUGGGGGAGGUGGUCCUUGAGCCUAAGCGGGACGGAGGUUCAAGGGGUUUGUUGUUUGUUGCAGGACGUGAGUCUGUCUCCGUUAGAACUGCAAGUCAAUGUCAGGAAUUCAAAAACUGAUUAACUAGGUAGGGGAGCGGUUAUUCGGCUCCCGGCAACUGGGUUGGGGGGCCCUUGCCCGGUUAAGGAUCUCAAGAAAUAUUUGGCCAUGCGACCUACAGGUGAGGGCCCUUUGUUUAUUCAUGAGAACGGGCAUCCAUUGGCGCGUCAUCAGUUCACCAAGGUGUUGCGCAAAGUUAUUGCUGCAUGUGGCCAUGUGGCUUCUGAAUUUGCUCCUCAUUCCUUCCGGAUUGGGACUGCAACAACAGCUGCCUAUUGGGGUUUAUCGGUGGAAAGGAUUAAAGACCUGGGCCGGUGGAAGUCGGAUGCGUUUAGAGGGUAUGUGCAGAAAUGACUUUGACUUUGUGUACUUACGUUUCUUGUUUUAACCCUAGGUCUAGCCGCUAUCCGCAUCUGGAUAGUGGGGCACAGUAUUGUGCAUUGGGCUGCUGAUAGAGCUCGUCAGUCUGGAUUGGGAGUUGGCCUUGGCCUUCCGCAGCACGUACAGGUGUCCUGGAUCGCCAGAAGGGGGAUGCGGUGGAAGGAAUUCUUACCACUUAUGCAGAGGCACGUUCUCCUGGAUGGCCCUCCUACGGCGAUCGUGGUGCAGCUUGGGGAGAAUGAUAUGGGUUCCUCUUCUUGUUAUGUAUUGCGUGUUGCUAUCUUACAAGAUUUGAGGGAAUUGGUGGCCAUGGUGCCUGCAACUAAAAUAAUUUGGUCACAGUUGCUUCAACGCCACAUAUGGCGGGGUAGUCCCUGCCCAGCUGCCACCGAAUGAGUUAGGAAGCGGAUUAAUUCUGCGGUGAACAAGUUGGUGGUUGGUUUGGGUGGGUUUGUGAUUCCUCACCCUUUUAUUACGUUCAAAGCCACUGAAUUAUAUAGGAUGGAUGGGGUUCAUCUUUCCUCAGUUGGGAAUGACGUUUGGUUGAAUGCAGUGGUGGCUAAGUUGAGGGUGUGGUUUAGUUUGUGAGUGGUUGGCAGCGAGCGUAAGGGCUCGAGUGGCGGUUAGGCAUUGGUUUAAAUUGGUUGGUGGAGGGGUAUGGAUUGGCUGUGCCUGCCCCUCCAAUGCUGCUGCUGCAUGGGAAUUCCGUUAAAGGAAUUCAGGGGCUUACCAUCCUUUCGUCCAAACCCCUGGAAUCGGGUUUGGGCCGCGUAAGCCCCUGGGAGCAUGCGGGGAGUAGCUGAGGGUCUGUGCCGCAGCUCCAGUUAUCCCUGAUCUUGUUCCUCCACACUGGCUUUCGCUGGAAUCCAGGAGUCAGUGCUGUCCCCAAGGCGGGGGGGACAGAUAGUCUUAACCAAUGCCUAAGCAACCACUCACAAUUUUGUAUGUUUAAUAAAGUUGUGGCCAAAAUUAUGCCAAAAACCUUAAACAAAAAUUUAUGAGUGAUGUGUGAGUUAUUGGGGUAGGGGUGUUUUGGGGGACCUCAGCACGCAAUCUUCUUUGGCUGCUUAUGACGCUACCGGGCUGCUCUUAGAUUCAGCAGGGUGCUAUAAUCUUCAACAUGACCUACACAGCAAGGUUACUUACAGAGGGGAAGUGGAGCACUGUUCCAGAAAGACAAAGAAGAAGAAGCGGACCCCUGUAGUGAUGGUAGUGGAAUAAGAUGAACGCCCAGGGUUACCCUGUGAUGCUCUUAGCAUGGAACCAGGUCAGAGACCAUGAAAAGGAAAGAACCCCGUGGAGCCAACAGUGGCAUCAGCCAGUGCUACAUUGGGGAGUUGAGUCAACUGUGUUCAAAAUGAACGUCUGACCUUGCAGAAGUAGCAGGUGAGAGACUUGUUUUACUAGCCCACACAUAGUCCACAGAAGCGGUAAGACCAAAGGAGGAGGAGUACCAAGGGGAAUGGAUGAAAUUCAAAGACUAUCUAGUUAAAUAUGUUAAGAUAACUUAAUUGGAAAAACUUGCAAAUACCAGAAAGGCUUAGGAUUUAAAUAGGUGAUGUUAGAGAAUAAUAUGUUUUAAGGUAAAAUGAAAAGAAAGAAAGAUGUUAAGUGAAUAAGUUAAUAUUACAAGAAAAAUUGGUUUUGGAAAACUGUUACAAUGAUAUACACUGAAAUUCACCUAGGAAGUCACCUAACAAUGUUACUAAGAUUGGAUUAUGUUCAAUUAUGAUUUUUGUUUGUUUGUUUAAAAUUUUGGAAAAUCAAUAAAAAAAAUUGGGGGGGGGGGGAAGAAGCGGUAAGACCAAUUGCUAAUUUCUGCAUCUGUUUGAAAGAGCCAUGGAUGCAAUCAAUUCUGCUAGCAAAACAGGGUUCUCCCCCACUCUCCACCCCCUGCUUGCUUCCCUCAAAUUGACUGGGGAGUUUCAAGUGAGCCUCCCAAACUCUGCCAGUACAGCCUUGCACUUACUGGACACAUGCCAUAGCACAUCCCAGCUCCCAGAAGCCCUCUGCCCGUGGAAUGACAUCAUCGAGGUGAGGGCAUGGCGAGGGGGACUCCAAUCUGUGCUAAGCAGGCAAACAGGAUGUCUCCAGCUGCUCUGAACCACUUGAAGGGGGUGGGAUGGGAGAGAGAGAACAAAGUCAUGAAUGUUCAAAAACGGAAAUACAAAUAUUGUUCUUACGUCUAACAGGCUUCAAGGGCAGCAUACCGAGAGCAAAACUUCCAGAGACUUAGCUCCUUUAAGUCUAAAUUCAGCCGUCGCUAUUGUACUUAGUUUUAUUUUGAUUCUUUUUCAGAAAUAACGAAGUUAAAUGUGUUCUGGGGAUAUCUCUCGGCAUACAAAGAGGGUAACAGUGUGAAGAUACUCUCCUGGAAAAAGGUUAAUUCUCAAAGAGGAAACUAAUUAUUAAUUCAUGUAGCUUCUAAAGCCUGUUUUCUUUCCCAAUUAAAAUCCAUCUGCUUCUUAGGAUUUAGUGUGCAUAUCAAAUGUGAUGUUUCGAAACAGACCGUUUCCUCACAACCCUCCCCCCCCCCCCAAUGAAGUUAACAUCCUAAUUAAGGAGAAUGGCGCAUGCCUCGUUCUCUUCUUCCCUGACUCAGUUAGUUUUGUAGCAGAUUUACUGGGCACCCUGUGAACCGACUUGAUGAUUAAUCUUCAUUUAAUACUACUUUAAUGUUCUAAUAAAUAAUUAGUUAUCUGAAAUAAUAAAUAAUUAGUUACUCAUCGUUUUCUUAGUGAACUCUGUGGCUUCAUUCCUAAGUGAAUGGGAGGAAGAUGGUGAAAGGAGAGUUUUCGAUGCCCUCCUCCGACCUGCAGCUAACUGCACCCCUCCAAAAUACCUCUUAGGAGGCACUUCCUGAGCAAUAUGGGAUGGUGGGUGGGUGGGGGAUAUUGGGGAAGUGGGGAAUUGUCAGGCAGAUAGAGGGUUGUAUCUGACAGGCAGAGUAAUUCAAGCUCCACUCAGUUCCCUCUAUCCAAACACUCGCUAUAUGGAAAUUCACUUAUUGAAACAUGAGGAAUUAGCACCCCAAACCCAUUAUACACACCAUAGCUUCAGAUAUCCAAACAGCCAGACCUGUGUGUAGUACUGGAAACAGCCUUACGCAAGUCUUACUUUUUGUGUUUUGCUGGUCCACAGCAGCCAUUUCUCUAGAAACCCUGGUGGGAGUGAGGGAAAGGAAGAGAUUGGACAAAUGAGAGCAUUUCCCCCUUCAUUCUCUGCCUUUUGCAAGGUUUCAGAGGGGUUUCCUUGGUUUCCCUCCAUUAUCUUGGGGUCAAAAUUUGAGUAGUCAGGAACACAUUAGAAAAUUUUCCAUAGGAAUUGAUGGACAUUGUUGAUUUGUUAUGUGAAUGCUCACCUAACAAAUGAUUUCCUGAUAAUGCACCGUGUUGAAUAGCAAGAGCUGUGUACAUAGGAAACAGGUUUGGUCAAACUCAUGUUGGUAGCUUCGAGAACACUAUCCAACCAUCUCGUCCUCUGUUGUCCCCAUCUCCUUGUGCCCUCCAUCUUUUCCAACAUCAGGGUCUUUUCCAGGGAGUCUUCUCUUCUCAUGAGGGGGCCAAAGUAUUGGAGCCUCAGCUUCACGAUCUGUCCUUCCAGUGAGCACUCAGGGCUGAUUUCCUUAAGAAUGGAUAGGGUUGAUCUUCACACAUUGGGGAUACUCUGGCUUAAAAUCUGCUGUAUCCAAACUCUAUUUGGGAAGAGCUAGGGCCAGUGGAAAGAGUCUGAUGAAAGGAAAAUAAAGCUGCACAUGAUAUUCAUAGCAGUCGUGCAAUUCAUAGUAGCAUUGUCAAUGUCACCCAGUCAGCAUGCUUCACUCACUAGGCACAGACAGCAUGUCCAAUAUACACAAAACCAAUGGCAUGUAAACAUGCACAGACAGUUCGGCCAAGCGCAAUCCUGUAUAUAAACACAAAAAUAGCUGCCCCAACAACUGAACGCCACGUGAUCACAGUCCUUAGAACUGCACCCUAAGAACUGCCAAAUUGUGGCACCAUAUGUGAAUGGUAAUGUAGCUGCUAUUCUGUCACUUGCAGCAGGACACAGCUGACCAGGGGUGGUGACCAAGGUGCUGAUCUUCACAAUGGUUUCUGGAAGUGACUCCUUGGCAGCGCCCCCAGCCCAAGAAUCUCAGGAUUCUCUGAGACCAGCUGGUGAAAGAGAGCCAUUUCCUUGGGUCUCAGCUCGACUCAUGUCCCGUAUGAGCAUUGGGAGGGGCUUAUAGGCCAGAGGGACCUUCCCUGGUUCCAAAUAUGGCAACCAUGGCAAAAGAAAACAUGCUUAAGAGUUAUCAUGGAUUCCUUGGCUGCAUGUUGGCCUGGUAUUCUCUCACCCCUCUGCAGAUCCUGUUUUCCCAUCUGAGUGUUUAUUAGGCAUGUCUAAUUAAAUCCACAUGACUAAUGAAGCUGAGGCUCUAAUACUUUGGCCACCUCAUGGGAAGAGAAGACUCCCUGGAAAAGACCCUGAUGGUGGGAAAGAUUGAGGGCACAAGGAGAAGGGGAUGACAGAGGAUGAGAUGGUUGGACAGUGUUCUCAAAGCUACCAACAUGAGUUUGACCAAACUGCGGGAGGCAGUGGAAGACAGGAGUGCCUGGCGUGCUCUGGUCCAUUGGGUCAUGAAGAGCCGGACACGACUAAAUGACUAAACAACAACAACAAACUUAAAUCCAUUCAUCCUCAGUAGAUUCACUGAGGAUCUACACACAACAAAAUUCAUACAAUGGUACCUUAGGUUAAGAACUUAAUUCAUAUUGGAGGUCCGUUCUUAACCUGAAACUGUUCUUAACCUGAGACACCACUUUAGCCAAUGGGGCCUCCCGCUGCCGCCAUGCUGCCGCCGUGCGAUUGCUGUUCUCAUCCUGAAGCAAAGUUCUUAACCCUAGGUACUAUUUCUGGGUUAGCGGAGUCUGUAACCUGAAGCAUCUGUAACCUGAAGCAUCUGUAACCUGAGGUACCACUGUAUUCUUAUCUCUUGUCAGACUUUGUUUUUCAUCCACAAAGGAAAACCAUUUCUAUGGUUGUUGGGGUUUUUUUGGGGGGUACACACCACUCUGCCUUUUUUUUUUUUAAGGAAACUUUAUUCAUUUUAAAAAUAAAGUCAAAAUACAAACAACAUCAAACAUGCUGAAACAAAAGGGGGGGGGGAAGGAAAACUACAAUGGAUAGAAGGGAGGGGAAAGAAAGGGAAGCUAAUACCCUGUAUUAAUUCAUGCGAUGCAUCUCUUAUAAUCACAAUCCACGUCAUCGAGACAUCACUUUAUCCUAAUCUGCUAAAAUACAUCCUGUCGACAAACUUAAUUGAACCAUUGGGGAUCCAUGUUCUGUCUCUGUUGUAAAUGACGUAUCUCAAACAUCCUGACUUAAAGCGCAGCUAAUUUCUUCCUUUUGUGAACCAUUUUAAAAACAUGAUGCCGGGGCUACAGUUAUGAAAACAAGUGUAUACAGGGAUUAAUGGCAUGGCUGCUAGGCAUCUUAUAAAUGGUGCACCAGCAAUAUUGCAGCCUUUUGGGAAAGGUGCCCUUAUUCACGCAUUAUCUCGAACCGCUACUCGAUUGCUUUUAAGGACAUUGCACUGAAUAUUUCUUCCACAUUGACAGGAUUUCAGAAUAUUGCUGGCAUAUACUGAGAGAAGUAGCUAUAGAAACUGUUUCUUUUGUUCCCCCUUGAAAUGUCUUCUGGAGCCUUUGUAUGAGCAAAAUUAGGAUUGCUUCUCCUUUGGCAGUGAAUCCUUCACUGCCUGGCAGCUUCAAAGUCUAAUCAUGAUUUCAGAAACUAAGCAGUUGGGGGCCUUAGUAUAUCAAAUAUGUAGGAUGGCACAGUUGGGCAGUAAAUUCUGCAGACUACAGAGAGAUCAUACAGUUCUUCCCCUGCUUUCAGCUUUACUGUCUCCAUACGCUGCUAAAAGACUGAAUAGCUUGUGUAGGUACAGUGCAUUGCUCCUGAGAAAAAUGACACAUUAUGGGUGCAAUCCUGUUUGGUAUCUUUGCACUCAUAAGGAGGGCUUUCAUCCAUCUGGGUGCCUCUAUUAAUGGAAAACAUCAGGUGUGGGGUAGGGAAAGUUGUGGCUGGGUUCAAAAUGGGUUUGCAGGCAUGGUCGAUCAGCUGCAAGAGGCAUCGAAAUUCCAACUACCAGAUGUAGUGGAAAUGCAGAAGACAAUUGUAUUUCGAGGAGUUAGGUGGCAUGUCCCCUUCCCUUUAACAUCCCCAGUUUGAUUCUUGUGUUUCACACACCUGUCGGGAGUUUAUUGGGUUCUUCUGUGUUGAAAGUGCUGGCUGGAUGGCGGCUGCAGGUAGUGGGAGACUCUCAGCCGCUCUGCUGUGGGUUAAAUCACGGAGCCUAGGGCUUGCCGAUCAGAUGGUCAGCGGUUCGAAUCCCCGCGAUGGGGUGAGCUCCCGUUUCUCGGUCCCUGCUCCUGCCCACCUAGCAAUUCGAAAGCACGUCAAAGUGCAAGUAGAUCAAUAGGUACCACUCCGGCGGGAAGGUAAACGGCGUUUCUGUGCUCUGCUCUAGUUCGCCAGAAGCGGCUUAGCCACGCUGGCCACAUGACCUGGAAGCUGUACGCCGGCUGCCUCAGCCAAUAAAGCGAGAUGAGCGCCGCAACCCCAGAGUCGUCCGUCAGGGGUCCCUUUACCUUUACCUUAAUGCCAGGUGCACUUGAUUAUAUCAAGGCAGGCUAUAAAAGUCAUAGGUGGGAGGGGCCAGGUGAGCUUCUGCCCAGAUCAAAGGACCUGAUGCUGGGAGACCGAUGGUCAGGGUCUUUCUCCUGCUGCUCUACCUGGGGCUCCGGGCAGCUGAAGGGGAGAUUGGGUAGCCCCUGUCGGGUAUAUUUUAUGUUAUGCUUUGUAUGGCUGCUGUUUAUUUGUUAAUAAAACUGUUUUGGUUCUCCUUCCACCUCCUCAUUCAUUUUGUCCUGAUAUCCUUGGAAAGAACUGCUGUAUUUGGAAGCACACCAGCUGAUUGUCAGAGCUUCAUAGCACAAUGCAGGGCUUUCUCCAGACAUUUCCGCUCCCUGCAGAGCAAGUGAUUUGGAUUCAAAGUGCUCCCUCUGGGGCUUUGAAUUCAAACUUCUUUGCCUAGAGAGAGAGGAAAAAAUAUACCUCUGAACCUUUAGGUGAGUCAUUGUAAUGACUGCACUGGGAGCAACUCAAAUGGAUAGGCUAUUUGUUGGUUUUGGGGGAUCUGGGUAAAGAAUAAAAGGAGAAUUCCCUGGAUGCCUAGAUCCAGAUUUGGGGCAAGUACUCUUUGGUGAGAAAGCCCCAACAGAAAAUUAAAAUCACAAAAUAUGCAGCAAAGUAAAGCAUGGAAAUAUAGCCUUUUGGGCCUUUAAAAUACCCCCUUCUAAGUUUCUUCCAAAGUUUCCUACUUCCCCUUAGCAGAGAAAGAGAGCACACAUUUGAGAAGUCAAAAAUGGUUUACUUACAAUCAUCAAAGAACAGAUUCAUGUGCUUUUCCAUACAGCAGUAAGAAAAGAGAGGCAGUACAACUUGGUUUCAAAAAGUGGUAAAAGUUUCUAAAUGAUAUACAGUCAUACCUCAUGUUACAGACGCUUCAGGUUAUGUAUUUUCGGGUUGCGGACCGGGGGAACCCAGAAGUACCGGAAUGGGUUGCUUCCAGGUUUCACCGCUCGCGCAUGUGCAGAAGUGCUAAAUCGCACCUGCGCAGACGUGGCACUUCAGGAUGCAAAUGCUGUGGGUUGUGGAUGUGCCUCUGUCACGGAUUACAUCCACAACCCGAGGUUCCACUGUAUAUAUAAACACAGAGAUGGCUUGCUGAAGCCAUGCUGUCUAAGUUUGGAGCAUUUAGCUUAUACAUCCUUCCUGGUUGGUUCACAGGGUGGAAAAAGAUGGUGGAAAGUGGGAUAACAAAGUGUUUGGUAACUCUUUCUCCCAAGGUGAGAGGGUGUGACCUAGCUAAGCCUGGCAGGACAGCUUACUUUAUGGUCUUAGCCCCUUCAUGCAUCAAUUAGAGUUAAGCAUGUUGGUUAUAUGAGGCUGGAUUUAUCCCACAGUAUUAGCAGUUCUACACUUCAAAAUGUCAAGUUAUGUCUCCUAUAGAUUUGAGAAGAUACACCCUGCACCCCCUCCCCCUGAGGAUAUUGGGUCAUAUGGCACAUAGUUUCUGAUGCCCAGCAAUUGAUGCUUACACCCAAAAGAUUAGCCACUGUCUCUGUGGCUGCGUAAAGCACUUGUUUUUAAAUGCUGACAUGUGUUUGUCAGCUCAGUUAUCUAACAACCCAUUGUUUAACCUUUAAAUGCCUUUCAGUCCAGCAAAGCCUGCCAAAAACAAUUGUGAAAUGCUGCAUUGUUCUUGUUAGAAUUUAUAUACCACCCUAUACCCGGAGGUCUCAGGGCAGUUCACAGAAUAAAAUCAAAAUAUAAAACCACAAAAUACAUAUUCAAAAUAAAAACAACCCAAUAACACACACACCCUGCAAAAAACAAACAAUACAUUUUAAAAGGGCAUAGGAUCAUUGCAUUUUAUAACAUGCUUUGCCCAGUAACACUCAAUGAGCACAUUCUCUUUACAUUUUGGAGAGGAGAUUGGAUUCACAUUGCUAUUUAACAGCAGUCACCCAGCUAAACACCUACACAUUGCCUUUCACAGCAUAUAGUGCUUUUAGAAUGGCUGCACAGUUGCUGAUACGCCCCAUGGAAUGCAAAGAUUUCUAUUUUUAACCUUGCUGCAGGGUUAUGAACUUCAGAUUUUUGGGAGCAGGGGCAAAUGUUUUCCUUAUUCAGGGGUAAAACAACACUGAGGCUUCCUCUUUGGCCAAAUGUGGCUAUAUUUCUUGGGGGGGGGAGGGGGCAUCAAGAUUGAACCUUGUGGCACCUCAAAAGCCAAAGGCCGUGAGGUGGGAGAAGCAACUAUUGGGCACUUGGGUGAUUGCUGGUUAUAUAAAAGCACUUUGGGAGAAUUGCUUGGAUUUGUGGUAUGAAUAAUGUCAAAGGAGAACCAUUUGUGAUGCAACAUUUUGUUCAGAAUUAAUAUCACAGUGCAGAUGAAUCUGGAAGAAAAGGGGAUAUAUGUGCCGUUGUUGUCCUGGUUUACCUGCAGUCUCUGCUUUAGUCAUGAUAUUCAUCUUAUGCUCAUCUAAGUUUUCCUGCUUACUCUGCCCUCCUGAAUAAUCUGCUGUAUUUCUCUGAAUUUCUUCUAACUUGCCAAUUUCCCCUGUUAAUGUGGUGCCCAAAUUCAUCAUGCUAUUGCAGAUGAAGCUGUGCCAGAGUCACAUUUUCAAUUUCUUUUCAUCUAGUAGUUGCUGCCACUCAUUGCAUUCCUUAUUUUCUCAUUUCUUUCUCUUAUCUAUUUUGCUGUGUGUGCGUGUGUGCUUUUUCCAAGAGAAUAUUUCAGAAAUAUUUUCCACUCCGUAUUUAUUGGCUGGGAUUAAUUAAGAAGCUCUGCAUUCUAGUUACUGUAGGAGAGGAACUCUCUAGGGAGAAUGUUAACAGAUUUCUGCAUUGGUCAUACCCAGUGCUAUUUUUCUAGAGAAAGAGGUGUUGGAACUCACCAUGAACGCCCUCCUCAUUCUCUUAGAAUGCCAUUGUGCCGGAACUGAGUUCCGAUGAGGCCCAGCUGAAAAAAAGCCCUGGUCAAACACAGUGUACAUUGUAAGGAAAAGGUAAAGGGAUCCCUGACUAUUAGGUCCAGUCGUGACCGACUCUGGGGUUGCGGCGCUCACCUCGCUUUAUUGGCCAAGGGAGCCGGCGUACAGCUUCCGGGUCAUGUGGCCAGCAUGACUAAGCCGCUUCUGGUGAACCAGAGCAGUGCACGGAAAUGCCAUUUACGUUCCUGCCAGAGCAGUACCUAUUUAUCUACUUGCCCUUUGACGUGCUUUCAAACUGCUAGGUGGGCAGGAGCAGGGACCGAGCAAUGGGAGCUCACCCCGUCGUGGGGAUUCGAACCACCGACCUUCUGAUCAGCAAGUCCUAGGCUCUGCGGUUUAACCCAUAGUGCCACCCGCGUCCAUGUACAUUGUACUUUCACUCAAAACCAAGGGUCAUAGUUCAGUUGAUUGGCAUAUGUUUUCAAUAAAAAAGGCCCCAAAUUCAAUCCUCUCCAUGUCCCAGCAGAGCUGGGAAAGUUAUCUGAGUGAUUGAAAUACUAGGCAGCUUCUGUCAGUCAGUGUAGACAACACCAACAACAAUGACUAGUGGUCUGGCUUGGUAUGAGGCAGAUUCCUAUGUUAAUUCCUAUGUUAUGUUGUUAUAUCUCUUUAAUGUCAUAAUAUGGGUUGAGUAUCUCAGCCCCACCCCACCCUCUCUAUCUGGCCAUUGUGACUCUCCGUGGGCUAUAGCCCCUUCCUAGGCCAAUCACUCUCACUUCCCUUACUGUGUGCCCUCAGAGUGCUUUUAUCUGGCUGGAAAGUGUCCUUGAGCUAUGAUCACAGCUCUUAUAUUUGUGUGUAGAAACCUUGAAUGUAAUCUAUCACAGAAAGGUAAAAGUCACAUUUGUUAUUGUUAUGUACUGAGUUGAAUAGGAUCCAAAAGGCAGCAGGCUGAUUGGUCCUAGAACAAUAGGAUUCAGAAUGCAGCAGUCUGAUUUGUCCACAGGAGCCACCCAAUCCAGCUCCAGGUGGAAGGGAAUCUGCAACCUGAUUGGCCUACAGGAGAAUCCCGGAAUUAGCCAAUCAUGUGGGGCCCAUUGUAUAAAUAAUGUAUAUUAAGCAGACAUUCUGGGGGAACUUCCGUUCCUCCUCCCCACUAUGAGCUGAAUAAAGAGCAUGAAAUCCACUCUCGAGUCAGAGUAUAUUUCAGUUAUGCCUCCCGUUCCACCCGCCCCAGCCCUUCCCUCAGAAUGAAAAAGUUCCAAGUCUUUGUCAUAUGUAUCUCUUCAUUGUUGUUCGUCUUUUUUCUUAUUUCUGUUGAUGCCCCACCCCCUUUUCUAUGGAGUUGCUGUUCCUCCCCCUCCCCCUCCUCUUCCUCCUCUUCUUCUUUGAAUAGGACACCUCUGUUUUCAUCGGAGAAAUGUUGGAGGGUAUGAAUAUGCCUUCAGGUCUAGAAACUUACAUUUUUUUAACAAGGAAAAGCUGAAAAUUUCUCAGUGUUGGAUUAAGUGAGCAAAAAGAAAUUCCCUGCUCCCAUGGAACAUUCGUGAAAUUGUGGUGUGCAUUCUGCCUGUCCCAGAAGCCAGCAUAAUAGGCCCAGAGUGUCAAAUGGCAGCUAUGAAUAAGAUGUGAAUUGUGAACAAGCAUUCCUCUUUCCCUUCAAAAAAUGGGGGAGGAAGGGUCAUAGGGGCACAAAACCUGAGAACGUUACUAAGUAGCAGGAAGCCAGCUCUUUCCCAUACAUAUCAGGCGCCCAGGUACACUAUCCAACCGAAUAAAGUCCAAAUUAUGUUGGAUCUCUUACAGUUUUCAAGAGCAACAAAGCUAGACAACCCCUAAUGUGAACAGCAGGAGCUUGGAAAUACCUAUUGGAGGUGCUUCAGACAGCUGGCCAUUUUUGGAGAAAGAAUGAUUUGCCACAGGAGUUUGUUUUUAUAUCACUUGGCCCCUGUGUCUUCUGCACUGGAGUCAAGCUAUUUAAGGGUAUAAAAAAAGAAGGCCUAGCGAAUGGAAGAUGGAACGAUCAGACAAUGUAGAUAUAGCACUCUGAAAAGGUCAACAGAGUUUGCCAGUCUCCCGGAGUACAAUAAAUAUUACCCUGUGAUAGAUUAGUGCACACUCUUUGAAGGCUUACAGCUUUCUUAAACGGGAAACCCAGUAGGAAAUCUUCCCCUAACUUAAGCAAAGAACCUUAGAGACCUUCUUCAAAUGCUGUGCUUUUUGUUUAUACACACACACAGAGACACACACACACACAAUUUUAACAUUGCAGUUCUUGCAGUGACUUUAAUGCCCCCUCUUACACCAGAUGCCUGAGUUCUUCUUCUUCCUUUUUAAACUAAAUGUAUUUUGUGCUGUUAAUGAAAAGCUUGGGGUUGGCUUUUACAGCCCAACUCUCCACCAAUGGAUUCAGAGUCCCUGUAAGUCUGUUAUCAGUUAGAGAAAAUUGAGUGGAGGCAAGUUGCAGUUAAAGCAAGGAAGGCCUUUAUUUUUCUGUUGCAACAGGGCCCCCCUCCCACCUUACAAGGAGGACCCAGAACAAAGGUGUGCUAAGACUUUUGCAAAUGCCCAACCCCUUAGCCAAAGAUCACCCCAAAACAUCAUGCAUGUGUCACAGAAAGAGUUGGUCUAAAACAGAAAUCUGAGAGUGUGGCUUGUCUUUUGUUUGACAGAUUCCGGAUAAUAGUCACUGAUUGCAUUACAACUACCUUCAAAGGUAGCCCCACGUAGAGCCCAUUGCAGUAAUUCAAGCAAGCAAUAACCAGAGCAUGCACCACUCUGGCAAGACAGUCUACAGGCAGGUAGGGUGCAUGAAAAAGUGAAGGCUUUUCUGGUGGAAAAGAUCACACAAAUGCCAGCUGCUUUUUGCCCUUCAAAGUGUGGGGAAUGGAUAUCUUCCCCUGCACCAGUCUUCCACUUCCCUUCUCCUCCGCAGCUGCAUUUUCGGAAUGAGAAAUGAUUGCCGUCAAAUUAUGUGCAACUGCAUGCUGUGUAUAUAGCCUGGCCUUUUAGCUCCUUGGCUUUCCUAAGUCUUUGGAUGGCUGCAAAUGCGUGGUACUUCUGAGUCAUGCAGAAAGCUUUUAAGGAGCUAUCAUCACCCAGCUCCAGUGGUCUGAAUCCCCUCAUCUCUACAGCUCACUCAUGCCCACAAUUAAGUCCAUACCAAUUUGCACGGCAGACAAAGAUGAAGGCCAUGGACAGAAACACAUAAACAUGGCUUACGUCUAAAUCAUACCUCUCGUGUUUUUUUGGCAUGGCUAUAAAAGAACUGACUGAACCAAGAGUACAUUAUAUUCCCCCCUCCCCUGCAGACUUUGCUUUAUGCAUUUCUUGGAACCACUGGUGAUUUCAGCUUAAGACAAUAGUUUCCUCUUGCUUGAAUGAUGCCUCUUAACAUCCACUACUCAAGGAGGCAGGCAACCUAACUGUAGCUAAACACAGCCAAUGAAUGCCUACUCUAAUGUGGCUAAAUCUUUCAGGUGCUUUUAGCAUUGUCGAUUGUAUAGUUCAUUGGUGUAGUGGUUAAGAGCAGUGGACUCGUAAUCUGGUGAACCGGGUUCGAUUCCCUAUUCCUCCACACGCAGCUGCUGGGUGACCUUGGGCUAGUCACACUUCUCUGAAGUCUCUCAGCCUCACUCACCUCAUAGAGUGUUUGUUGUGGGGGAGGAAGGGAAAGGAGAUUGUUAGCCGCUUUGAGACUCCUUAGGGAGGGUAGUGAUAAAGCGGGAUAUCAAAUCCAAACUCUUCUUCUUCUUCUUCUUCUUCUUCUUCUUCUUCUUCUUCUUCUUCUUCUUCUUCUUCUUCCUCUUCUUCUUCUUCCUCCUCCUCCUCCUCCUCCUCCUCCUCCUUGUCUGGCUCCACAGGCUGCACACUCUUGAAACAGACAGGAGAGGGGGGCAGUUGUGUUAUCCUUUGGAUAUAUAAUCCUACAUUUUCUUUACACUCUGAAAAGAGAGGUGCGGCUGCUAGGACACUGGAAUGUGUGCUCCUUCCCUGUGCUGCCAACAUCCUGCUCAUGACUCUGGCACUCUGCUGGUGGGAUCCACUAAAAACAAUGGCCCCUCCACAGUAGGAUCCCACCCUCUAUCCCUUCCCCCUCCCUCUUUGCCAGGAACGGGGGAUGGUUCUCAAAUGAAGAAUUCAUGGAAUCAUAGAAUCAGAGAGUUGGAAGGGACCCAAAGGUCAUCUGGUCCAACCCUCUGCAAUACAGGAAUCUCAGCUAAAGCAUCCAUGACAGAUGGCCAACCAACCUCUGCUUUAAAAACCUCCAAGGAAGGAGAGUCCACAACCUCCUAGGGAGACUGUUCCACUGCCAAACAGCUCUUUAGCUGUCAUGAAUUUGUUGAUCCUUCUCCUCGGUGAAUAUGCCUACAAAUAAAUAAAAUAAUAAUGUUCUCUUCUCUAUCCUCAACACCAUUAUCUUUCCUGAUGUUUAGUUGGAAUCUUCUUUCUGUCUCAGCACCCUCAUGAACUGAUACUUCACUGUUGGAGAAGCUGUGACAGUUAACUGGUAUAAUUUGCAACAUGGGCAUGUGUUAAGUUUCGUUGUUCUCGGUAACAUUUUUUUAGAUUUUUAAACUGCUCUUUUCUGGCAGCCCAGAAUUAGGCCCAUUGAUAACGCUUGCACAUAGCAGCAGUAAAUUUGUCAAAAUCUGUAUUGAGCGCACGGCGGACUUUGAUCAAAAUAGCACACUUUACAUAACAAGGGUCAUCAGAACGAGGUACUGAGCUAACAAAAGCAAUUGAAGUCUUCACGAGGACUUGACAGAUUCGCACCAUUCUUGCAGUCUCGGUGGAUAUCUGGUUUGAUCUAAUUAAUAACAAAAGCACAGCAGUAGAACUAGGCAAAGAGGAACACAUGCCACAAAAACCUUCAAAGAACCAUUAGAAACUCCCUGUUGCCAACUCCAUGGAUCCAAAAUGCUAAUAUUUUAGAAUUCUACGGCAGAUCCACAAUGUGCUGCAAACAGAGGUUAGGAGUGAACAAGGUGUGUUAGAAUCAUAGAAUUGUAGACUUGGAAGGGACCACCAGGGUCAUCUAGUCCAACCCCCUGCAAUGCAGGAAUCUCAGCUAAAGCAACCACAACAGGUGGCCAUUCAACCUCUGCUUAAAAACCUCCAAUGACUUCCCCAGGGAGACCGCUCCACUGUCAAACAGAUCUUACUGUCCUAAUGUUUUUCCUGCUGUUUAGUCAGAUUCUCCUUUCUUGCAACAUGAAGCCAUUGGGUUUGAGUCCUACCCUCCAGGGCAGGAAAAAACAGGCUUGCUCCAUCUUCCAUGCAACAGCCCUUGAGAUAUUUGAAGAUGGCUAUCACAUCUCAUCUCAGUCUCCUCUUUUCCAGGCUAAACAGACCCAGCUCCUUCAACCAUUCCUCAUACGACUUGGUUUCCAGACCCUUGCUCAUCUUGGUUGCCCUCCUCUGUAUCUUUGUCCUAAAUGUGCCUGUCAUUCAUGCAGGAUGACCAUUUAAAGAUCACAGAAGUAGAAGGAAAAUUGCAUAUAUUGAUGUAUAUGUAUGGAUACACAUUUAGAAAGAAUUAUUUAAUAAUAAUAAAUAAUAAUAAUAAAUUUGUAUUUAUACCCUGCCCUUCCCGGUUCAAAAAACCGGGCUCAGGGUGGCUAACAACAAAUUUAAAACAAUUGAUGCAACAAAAAACAGCAUAAAAUACAGUAUUAUUUAGAAAUAAUUUAAGCAGAUAUACACUAUAACUCUCUUUAAUAUGAAAGACUGACCAGAUGACCUGACUACCUGCUUUCCAGGUGAUGCUUGUUGUUGCCGGCAACCUCUUCCCAUUAUCUUUAAAUUGGUCUUGGACUGGGCAGACCUUCAAGCAGAGAGUGGUGCCUUCAAAUAGAGGACUGUCCUCUGUAAAGUAGAACACAUGGCCACACUACAUUGGUUAGUAGCCAGAGAACACUAUUGAGUCUCUUUUACAACAUAAACCAGUUCAAUGGAUAGGUAAUUCAGUCAGCAUAUUAGCUAUUCUCUUCCUACACUGGGGGGCGGGGGAGAGAAUAAAAUGAUGUCCUUUACAGGCCUUCAGUUCUAUAAUUUAUCGUGGACUGGUCCCUUAUUUAUCUUUUUGUUUGGUUCAUAAAGUACCAAAGUUUCAGUGCACCUUUUAGGAAGUCUUGGCAAAUGCCACUGUUGCUGACCUAAGCGCUAUGCAUCCGAGGGAUAACAAUGCUGUAUUAAUUAAUCUCCUGUGAUAAAUUCUCAAGAAUUAAUAGGGUGUGGUAACUGAUGCAUCAUAAAGCGCAGCCUUGUUUUUCAUGGUGCUGGAGAGUCUACUAGAGAACGUAUUUUGCAGAGCUGUGAUCUGUUAAAAUGUCAUUAUGGAGCAACAGGGAAAAGGAACUUUUUAAUACUAUGAAUAGCAGAUCUUAAGAAUUAGCACUCUGCUUCAUAAGUUUGACUUACUCUGCCUUACCCCUGGAUAGAUAGGAGGAAGCUUCUGUUGUGUUUUAGGAGCACAUUUUGGGGCCUGCUGGUCUCCUUAAAAACAAGUCCUUAUUUAAAAAACAAAGUUAUUAAAAGCUGCUUAUUUUCCAGGAUGGGUUUUGUGGACCUAUUUGUAACACAGGUGGAACAAGUGAUCAUAACAUCUAUCUUUUUGUUAGAAUACAAUAUUUAAAAUGUAUUCAUACUAUAUUGCAUGCUUUUUUAAAAAGCUACCCAGUACAUCUAGGUAGCUAGUGCAGUACUCACAAUAGCAAUGGAUGACAUACAAAAAUUCCAAUUGCUGUGUUAUAUUUUUAGUUGAAAAUGCAAGCAUUUAUAUAUAUAUAGGCCCUUAGAAAUCAUUCAGUGGUGCCUUUUUUGCAUUCAUUUGCUGAUUAUUUACAUUUACAUACUUUUUCUCUACUUCCACAAAUCUCUUCACUCAAUAAUCACAUUAUUUCAUUUACAUAUCAGUCAUAAAUGGCUUUCAGUGCUCUGAAUAUUCAAUAUGUAUACACUGUCUGCAUAUGUAAGUCGGGGCCAUUACUUCAACAAACUCAGAGUGGGGAACCAUCAGCCUAUGUACCUAAUCCAUCUGCCAUCCUUCCUGAGUCCUCCCCCCCAAAAAACCUCCUGCUUUUCCACCCUCAACUCCUGCCUCAAAUUAGCUGCCAGAGAACAGCAGAUCAUUGCUUUUCUGAACACUGAGCAUGGAAUAAAAAUGAGCUUACCUGCUGAAGAUACAGACCAAUCUGUAUACAGAGAUACAGAGCACUUUCCCAGAUUGUCUGACUCUGAGAAAGUGUCUGUAUCCAGUACAAAUAUGGCCUUGUUUCCAGCUUUAGGACAUGUCUUCUGUUUGAAGGGCUGUCAGAGGACAGUCCCCUGUUGAAUGGAUGUGCUUCCAAAUCUAAUUGAGACACAAAGUAACCAUAAAAAGGGAGAACAGGAGGGAACUUGAGUUGCCCAUCAACAGUGAGCCACAGAAGGGCAGCAGACUGUGCAGAGAGGCACAAGUGUCUUUCUCACACUCUUCCCACUAUGGUGAGAUAUACAAUAAAAAGGUAAAGGACCCCUGACAGUUAAGUCCAGUCAUGAACGACUCUGGUGUUGCGACACUCAUCUCGCUUUACUGGCUGAGGGAGCUGACGUUUGUCUGCAGACAGUUUUUCCAGGUCAUGUGGCCAGCAUGACUAAGCCACUUCUGGCGAAACCAGAGCAGUGCACGGAAACAUUGUUUACCUUCCCGCUGGAAGGUACUUGCACUUUGAUGUGCUUUCGAACUGCUAGGUUGGCAGGAGCAGGGACCGAGCAAGAAGAAGAAGAAGAAGAGUUUGGAUUUGAUAUCCCGCCUUUCACUCCCUUUAAGGAGUCUCAAAGCGGCUAACAUUCUCCUUUCCCUUCCUCCCCCACAACAAACACUCUGUGAGGUGAGUGGGGCUGAGAGACUUCAAAGAAGUGUGACUAGCCCAAGGUCACCCAGCAGCUGCAUGUGGAGGAGCGGAGACGCGAACCCGGUUCCCC
rnacentral:lncRNA from 1 species